rnacentral:lncRNA from 1 species
CAUCUUAUUUGCAGGAUCUUUUGUUUGCUAUGUCAAACUCUGACACUACAAUAAAAACGGUCUAUAGCGACAUUUUUAAAUAUAGGUACAUGUCAAAAAAGUGCUGCUAGCUAAAAUUACCGACACUUUUAAAAAGUGUUGCUAUAUGUGGGGUCGCUAGGUAUAUAGUGACAGUUAAAGAGUGUCGUAUAAUCUAAAAGAGUGCUGCUAAUUUAUGAACACUUAUUUAAGCAUUUAGCAACCGCCGAAACUUUAUCUCGUUGGCUGCGGUGGCGGAGGAGGACGACAGAAAAGGCUCUUCGUCUAGAAUUUCAGUGGAUUGAGUGAAGAGAGAAGAAAAGAUGGCAAUUGAUUAUUUUUUUUUUCUUUUCUGUUUGUAAUCGGGCCAAAUGGACUGGGUGUGGUGGGUUGAGUAGAGUAAUCUUUUAUUUUUGGUUGGAUUGGACUUUAUAUUUAGGCAUUAGCACAUAUUUUUUUAAGUUUUAGCAUAAAUGGGACACUUACUCAAAAGUGUUCCAAACAUUUGUCCCUAUAACCUAAUUCUGUUGUAGUGUGAAUGUGCAAUAAAUUUUAUUAUGCUGUAUAUUAGGUUUGAUUACUUUUCUUCUUCUUCUUCUAAAUAGUUAACUCCUAAACUUUAUUAUCAAAGAAUUGGAAACAGAACUCUAGUACAAAAAACUCUUGAGACUCUAUCAAACAAUUUAAGCGUCCACUGGCCACAUAUACUUUCGAGAGGGCAAAAACACCAUUUUGUUACUUAUAUAAAAAAGAGAGAGUUCCCUUAGGAGCAAUAAAGGGGCGUUUACUUAGAAUCUCAAAAAUUAAUAUAUAGUUUUAUAUCCUUUAUUAUAGGAAAAAAAAAAAGUAUUUAUUUCGGAUUGAUUUUGGGGUUAAUUAUGACUAGAUUCCACUAAAUCAAGAAACUUCUUUUACUAAUUAAAUAAAUAGGCUGAAAUGGUCCUUUCAAUGUAAUAUAUAUAUAUAUUUUUUUUUUCUCUUUUGGUUUGACACCAUGCACUUUGCUUUUCUAUGCUAUUGAUAAAAAGUUGAUAAAACGGACAUAUUGAUUUUUUUUUUUCUUUUGGGAUGCGUUGAAUUCACAUAUUCGUCAACUAAAGAAAGAGUGGGAAAACACUAAAGCAAGAGUGGGAAAAUAAAAAAUUGUCAAAGAUAAAACUUAAGGCUUCGUUUGAUAUUGUGGGGAGAUUGCAUUGCGUGCGUUGAGAAAUUACCAUGAAAAAAUAUUGCGUAUGUAAUAUUGCGUUCCGUAUGUAAUAUUGCGUUCCGUAUAUCACGAUGAGUCGGCUAUGGUAUAUUUUCUGCGGUCUCACCGGAGAACUGAGAAGCAUAUCCCUAUACGCUUUUAUUUCAACUCCCGUCAGAUAGGACUUAAUAUACCAAACUAAGCCUAAAUAUUAUUAGCAUAAUUUAGCUUUAUCUUGUCUUUGCUAACUAGUCUAUUAAACCUUUGGAUAUUACUUGAAAGUCCCUCAAUUCAAAAAAAUUGUUGAUGCAUGCACAUAUGAAGAAUAUUUUGCAAAUAUAUCCGAACUUAAUUUACAGGGAAAUGAUAUUAAUAUAUCAUUGUGAUUAUAUUUAUUUUUAAACACUAACAUUGUGACGGUAACUAACUACUUUUUCUCUACGAUAUUUCACUGCAUUAUGAUUUAAAACUACCUUGUGCACACAAAAAGAGGGAUAAUAUUUUUCUUAAAAAAAAUACUACUUGCAUAUCCUACACCGAGGCCAGACAAGAGUUUAGAUUAGCCUUUUUAGUAUUUUAAUAUUUUAAAAAACUGAUAAGACCAUAAUAAAAAAGAGGUGCAUCAUUAAAAGAUAAAAAAAAGGUCACAUAGUUUUUUAGUAUUUAAAAUAAAAAAAAUGAUAACAUCGUUGUGAAAAAAGGUGAUCAUUAAAUAAUAAUUUAUAAGAGCUAAAAUACCGAAAUCUUUCCUAUAAAUAUAUGCUUCUUUUUUCUUCUUUUUUUUUUUUUUUUUCGUUACUUUUAAAAACCUACGUUUUACCCUCUCAAAAUUUCAAAUUGAUGUAUUUAUCCUCCUCUAUCAGGGUUUAGUGUUUAUCAAGACUCCAUCACUAUUUUCUUUAUUUUUUAUAAUUUAUACCGAAAAUAUUUUUAAAAAUAAUAGAAGUAUAUUAAAAAAAAAAAAAUUCGUAUAGAAUAAGUAAAUAAUUUUGUCAUUUCACCCUUUUUAUUUACUCUAAAUCCUAAACCCUAAAAAUAUUUCUAAAAUUUUAAAGGGGCAAAACCUAGAUUUUUUGAAAGUCGGGGAGAAAAUAAAAAAGAGAGUAUUUAUGUAGAAAAAUGCUUCUUGUACAUCCGAAAGAAGAGUGUAUAUCUUACACCGGCAAUCCUAGGAUUGAUAAAAAUCAAAUUGGGUUUUAAUAAAAUUUUAAAAAAUUGAUGUGACAAAAAUGAUUUUAGAAUUGAGUGAGUGUAAGAUAUGCACCCCACUUUAGAGUGUACCUGUAGUAUUGUUCAUUUAUAUAAAAGUUUUUUGUAUUUUAGCAUUAUUUUUUUUUUUCAAGUAUCUAGCCUUUUAGUAGUCAAAUCCCCAAUCUAUAAUUGUUCGUAUAUAUAUCUAUAUUACUUCUGAUGGUUUACCUUCAGACCUAUAUAUCUAUAUCCAUAGGAGUUUAAAUUUUCAUCAGUACCAAUCCAUUAAGCAACAGUUUGCUAGGUCAAAAAUGGCCUCACAGGACACAAGCAGCCAACCACAAUCGUAUAUUGCACAUUCAUAUACCAGCCAGCUUACAUGCAUCCAUUCCAGUCUGACAACAUACAUUCAUCCUCUGUGGCAGAAAAUCUCAAGAUCUUGAUCAGCCUGACUUAGAUUACAACUAUUUCAUGCAGCUGAUGAGGCCUGGCAGCAGUGAAGUGCUCCUGCUGACGCCGACGCAGCUCGACGAGGCGGCCGAGCUGCGGUGGUUCCAGUCCUGCCUGCGGUGGAUGUGCAUGGACCACCAGCCGUCAGCCGGCUGGCAUGCCGCCAUCUCCUGGCUCCUCUUUGCCAUUUUGGCUCUCGCCGUCCCUGCCUUCUCGCACUUCGCCCUCUCCUUCGACCCCGACCGCCGCCCCUACGACGCUGUAGUCCAGAUCGCGCUCUCCGCGGCCUCCGCCAUCUCUUUUGUCUGCCUGUCUGCCGUCAUCCACUGCGUCGGCCUCCGUCGCCUCCUCUUCCUCCACAAGCUCCGCCACGAGAGCGACCGCGUCCACGCCGGCUACACCGCGCAGCUCAACCGCUCGUUCCGCCUCCUCGCCUGCUUCGUCAUGCCAUGCUUUGCCGCCGAGGCUGCCUACAAGGUACCUUCUAUUUCGCCAUUGCGACCUUUUCGUUUGAGAUAAAUUAUAUUACUUAAUAAUGCCCCUUUAUUCAGUUUUUCCAUUCCAUCCUCUUGAUCGCAAACAAUUCUUUUUUUUUUAUUUAUUUUUAGGCCGCUAUAUUAUGAUGGCAUGAAUACAGUUGACAGAAGAAAAAAGAUUAUUUUGAAAUGGACGUGAACGCUAUUUUUCUAAGAAAUUGAUGCCUGCAAUUUUUUAUUUAUUUUGAUUCGCAAUAUUUUAUUUUUCUAGAAGGGAUAUUGUUUACUAAUAUAAGUUGCUAAUGAUGCAUUGCAAUGAAAUUCUCUAUUCUUCAAAUGAAUAUAUUAAAUUAAAGUUAGAAAGAAUCUCAAUAAAAAAAUUAAGGGGCAUGGUUUAAGACAACCAAUAAUUUAGGGGUUUCCUUACAGUUUACAUCUUUCAAUAUAUAUUGUUCUGCGCUAAAUACUCUUUCCCAAGUUCGCACCAUAGUUUCUAAUAGCCAAGGACCUUAUGUCACGUUUUGAGUCCUAUCAAUUGGAUCUGUUCAUCAGGCAUGUAUAAUAGAUUUGCCAAACAAGCAAAAUUUAUUAUAUCGGUACGAAACGGAAUAUACACCAAUAUAUAUGUUCAACUCAUAUAUUAUAUAGAUAUAUAAAGCAUCAUAGUAAUAUUACUAAAUUUAAAAACAAUUACAUAUAAUCCCUUCAAUGUUUACAACAUUUGAUCUUUUCAAAAUAUUAUUAUUUGGUUGUCCGUACAAAAGUUACUCUAAAUCAUUCACAACGAUCUAGUUACUCUGCAACGCCCUCUUGUGCCUCAAAGGCGAUUGUAGACUCUGAAAAAGUAUAAACAAUAACAGGAUGAGAAAUUUAAGCAUGUUUUCUGUAACGAAGUGAAUUCUCGAAAGCCGACAGUUGGACUUAAUUCGUCCAAAAUCGACUAACUGUUGAGCGAGUAGCCUUCGGAAAAGCCGGAGUGGCACGGAACCCAAAAAGUGCUUUGAAAUGGAGUCCACGAGAGCAAAUAGUGCAAAAACUGCACUUGGCAGAUUCUGCUCUCGGAGACCGAUCCCUGGCGGGAGUGACCGAUUCCCGAACGUGGUCUGAGCAGAGUUGCUCUCGGGGACCGGUCCCUAGCAGGGAAGGACCGGUCCCCGUGAUGCAACCGGUCCUUGGGCCUGGGGGACCGGUUCCCGAGCGCGUGGAUUGGGGGAAGGUCCUCUGGGACCGGUCCCAGCUAGGGAGAGACCGGUCCCUCUCCACGGGUUUUGCCCAGUCUAGGCAGUAUAAGGGAUGGAAAGUUGAGGUGUUUAUGUGCAAAAUAGCCAUGAGAGGGGUUAUGAGAGGGGUCUCUCUCUCUCUCUCUCAUUCCCUCACUCCCUCACUGCUCUCUCUUUCUCUGAUCGUGGAAGAAGAGAAAAGAGAAAAGAGAAGAAGAGAGAAAAGAGAAGGAGAACAGAAAGAGAAGGGAAGGAGAAGAAGGAGGAGUAGAGCUUGGAGGAGAUCAUCUCCAUCUUCUUCUCUUCCUCUCCUCACCAUUGGAGCUUCUUGUAGAGGUAAGCUUCUAAGCUCUCUAAUGGUAGAACCUUAUACAUGGGUUUUUGAUCUCUAAAAUUGGAUUAUUUGGAACCCUAGCAUGCUAUCUAGAUGGAUUUCUUCCAUUUCAUAAAUUGAUUUGGUGGAUUUGGCUAUAGUAACAUCUAGGGCGCCCAAAAAAUGGGGUUUUGGUAUUUGUGAGGGUUUGAUCUUACGUAACCCUUUGUAAACCUAAUUGAUAGAUAACGAAACACAUUGUCGAGGUUGGUUCGGCGAUUCGUCGAGCCCACGCGAGGAUAUCGAAGAAACGGACGUUCGGAGCUUCGUUAUCGCCUGGAGGGCCGAAGCGACGUCCAUAAAUCGUGAGAUUGGGUCCCGAGUACCGUAACAAUAAAGCGAAUACCUUUAAUUCUCGGAAUUGCAAAGUGGCGCGCGGUUGGAGCGCAACUGCUAGAUCGGGCCAAACCGGGUGUCGAGUACCGCGGGAGGCCGAUUGCAAGUGUCGACGAGCAAUCGUCAAGCAAGCUAAGGUGGGUUGUGCUUACCGAAGUGACUAGGUCGCCCUUUAUGUCUAAGAAACAUACGAAUUCAUAUUGAUGCAUGUUAACAAAACGACAUAGAUGAUGCAUGUGGUAAAAUGGUAAGUAGAUGCAUAUAAAAUGAUAUAAAGAUCAUAGAAUGCAUGAUUAGCAUUAUGAGAAUAUACUAGGUAGAUAUGCAUGUGAAUUAGAUGAUAACUCUAGAGUUGAUUGACAUGAGGAUUUUAUGGUACUCGAUUGGACAACUAGAAUGUCAGGUAGAUCGAGUGGCACCUAACCUAGUGUUAAAGAAUAUAGGUUGAACAAGUGAACCUAGAGUCGAACAAGUCUAGGUGUGUGGCAUCAAAUCUAGUGUUAGUAAACAUAGGUCGAACAAGUGAACCUAGAAGUUGACCUCUAGGUAGAGAUGAUAUAGAACCUAGCAAUUGUACCUAGGUUAUGUGAUUGAGACCUGGAACCUAGAGUGGUAUUGAACCUAGGUUGUUGAGUAUAGUGGUAUUAGCCACUAGGAUGUUCUAGGUCGACAGCAUAGGGUUGAUUAUGGACCCUCGACCUAUAGAAGUGGAUUCCUGAAUCCCAGGACUUGUGAUGACCCUGGUAUCAAGGCUAGGGCGUGUGCGACGAUUUCGUCGCCAAGGUUGAUACCGAGGGAGUAUUGGGGGCGAUCACUUGGAGAUCACCGCUCGAGGCUUGAACCAUUAUCGUGGCGUGUGCGACGAUUUCACUGCCGGAUGGUUAAGCCGAUUGUGGAUCAGACCGCCGGGGUUGACUGAAACCAUUGCUGGGUAAGUACGAUACGAGUGCCACCAGGUGGCUGAGUCGUGACUGAAACCAUUGUUGGGUGAGGUGCGAUUAGUUCGCCCCCAGAUAGAUAGGUCAUGACUUGAGUCCUCGCUGGGUAAGUGCAACGUGUUCGCCGCCAGAAUUGCUAUGUCAAGGGACUUAAGCCGGGUUCAGCUUGUGCGACGAUUUCGCCGCUAAGAGGCUAAGUCACAUAGGGCGGUAGGCUGUUCAGCAGCCAGUGCGCGGAAUAUCCGCGGAUGAUUAACUCGAGGCCGAGUCGAGUGAAUAGCUUCGAUAGGGUAGUGGAACCCUUAUAAGCUAGUUAUAGAGGCUAGAGCUAAGGUAAUAGAGACCUUAGAAGCCAGUGGACUUGAAUGUGAUCCUAAGGUAAUAGAAACCUUAGAGUUGAGUGUUAUGAACUAAGAUUAGCCAAGUAAAUGUAGAAUCAAUUGAUCUACUAUUGUUGCAUGAUUUUCAUAUCGCAUAUGUGAGGUAUGGCAUGUAUUUCAAUUUAAAUAUAUAUUUGUUGUAUAUUGUUGAACUAACAUGUUGCAGUGCCUUCUUGGACCUAUUGGUCGAGCUUUUCCCUUGGGUGGCCGUACCCACUGGGAACCAUAGAGUUGGUUCUCACCCCACGUUGUUUUGGGGUGUUUCAGGUUCACACGUGAGCGAUGCGGCGGCACGAGGCAAGGGCGUAGCUCCAUAGAUAGCACUCUACCCCAGAGACCAGAGGUAGCAGUACCCAGUGGUGGUCUAGCUUAGAGGUUUAUAGAACAGAAAACAAACUUGUAAUAUUUGUGAUAAUCGGAUUGUAUUUUGGAAGUUCAAUGAAAACAAAAUGUAUUAUGUGGAACUUGAGAAUGAACGCUUGUAAUAACAUAGGAUAUGUUAUGUUUUUGAUACUUAAUUAUGCAAUCUAUUUGUUGAAAUAUGUUCCUAGUUGGAACUUCGUAUAUUGUAUUGAUUACGACGUCUAGGACGUACAGGGGAAAUUCUGUCCGUUUGGCGGUCUGUUCGCGGCGCCGCGACCCGGCCAAAUUGGCGGGCUGUCGCGGGGCUGUGACAUUUUCGGUCGGUGCAACCGUCGAAAAUGGCAUUAUGCACUUGGUCCAAAGAAGGCAUAGUAGAUAAUAAUAAUAAUAAUAAGCAAAAUAUCUAUUGCUACAAUAGAAAUGCAAGUAAGAAAGAUACAACUAUCUCAAUGUAUUUCUUAACUCUUAUCAACUUGUUAAUUUAGCUUUCUCUCCUCAUACAUCUCAUGGAGAGUCGAGAGUGAACAAACUUCUCUCUAAUCGGUAGGCAAUUAGGCUUUUCGAAAUACGGUAUCGGGAGUCAGGGGGAUCGAACUUCUUCCCUUAUGAUAUUUCCGAAAGAUCACAACAUAUCUCAUCAUUACACCCUAAAUUGAUGACUUCUAGGGUUGUCCAUAAGGUUCAUUAAUAUUCUCUAGUUCUCCGGUUCACGUUUUGCCUAGAGUUCAUGUAACGCCCCAAUAGUCCCACAUUGGAUGGGAUACUGAUUCCGAUCAAUUUAUAUGAGGCCUACACGUUAGUAAUAAUAACUGGGCUUAAGCAUUUUAGGCUGAUGAUUUGGGCCUAACGUGUUAUUGUUACUGGCGGGUUGGGUCAUUACAAUUUUGUAACACCCCAAUAGUCCCACAUCGGAUGGGAUACUUAUUCCGAUCAGUUUAUAUGAGGCCUACACGCUAGUUAUAAUAAUUGGGCUUAAGUAUUUUGGGCUGGUGGUUCGGGCCCAACGAGUUAUUAUUGCUAGCGGGUUGAGUUGUUACAAUUGGUAUCAGAGAUGAAUACCAGCCGGAAGUGUGAGAGCUAAGUGCUAUGCGGGGCAAAGUGCUACAUCAACUGGUUUGGUGGGAGCCACCUCUUGAGCCUGUAGGAGCCACCUUUAGAAUCUCACAUCGCCUGGUAAUUCUGGUCCUGAUCUGUCUAUCUAUGAUCUGGUUUGGACCCGACGAGGAUGUCAAGGUCUGAACAAGGGGAGUUUGUAACACCCCAAUAGUCCCACAUCGGAUGGGAUACUGAUUCCAAUCAGUUUAUAUGAGGCCUACAUGCUAGUUAUAAUAAUUGGGAUUAAGCAUUCUGGGCUGGUGGUUCAGGCCCAACGAGUUAUUAUUGCUAGCGGGUUGAGUCAUUAUAAUUUUUGGGCCUAACGAGUUAUUGUUGCUGGCGGGUCAGGUCGUUGCAAUUGGUAUCAGAGCUGAAUACCAGCCAAAAGUGUGAGAGCUAAGUGCUAUGCGGGACAAAGUGCUACACCAACGAAUUUGGUGGGAGCCACCUCUUGAACCCGUAGGAGUCACCUCUAGAAUCUCACAUUGCCUGGUAAUUCUAGUCCUGAUCUGUCUGUCUGUCUGUGAUAUGAUUUUGACCCGACGAGGACGUCCGGAUCUAAACAGGGGGAGUUUGUAACGCCCCAAUAGUCCCACAUCAGAUAGGAUACUAAUUCCAAUCAGUUUAUAUGAGGCCUACACGCUAGUAAUAAUAACUAGGCUUAAAUAUUUUGGGCUGGUGGUUUGGGCCGAACGAGUUAUUGUUGUUGGCGGGUCGGGUCGUUGCAGUUCAUAUGUCACUAUAUUCACCUUAGAUUCCAUCAAUCCUAAGUUAGGUGCUACAUUUAUUUCACCUAUUUUUCAAGGUGUACAUGAUACUCAGAGAUGCAUGUCAAAUAUUUUUCUUUUACAAAAGGUUAGAAACUCUAUUUUCCUAUGUCAAAUGAUCAUAGGCUUACUUGACCUAUUAAAUCUCCUAACAUGCAAACUAUAUUUACUUUAGUCCACUUUUAUCUAUAAAUAUAUGCUUUUAGUAAAAAAAAAAAAAAAAGUCAAAGAGGAGAUUAAACUCACUUCGAUGAUAUUCUCCAUCUUCUUUUGGAUCUCCUCUAAGAGAUACUCUUUGAUCUCCUUAAAACAGCAAGAUAGUCCUAAAAAGACGUUCUAAUCAAGUUAGAUGUAUAAAAUCUCUUAUUUGAAUUCAAAAUAAACCUUAAAAAAAAUCUCAACUUAUAUCAUCUCUUCCUGUAAGGAAAACAUGGAUAGAGAGGUUGCCUUCUCCCUCCUAUAGCUUUCUCUUGAAGCCCUUGAUCUCCUCCAAAUCUUCAAGGAGCUCCAAGCUCCAACAAUGGAGAAACUAGGGUUCCCAUUUGUUCUAGAAAAAGAAGGAAACGAGAGAGGUUGAAAAGGGGAAAUAGGAAAGAGGUUAGAGUUUGGCCAGUAAUUUUUUUUUAUAGAAAUGUUACAAUAGCACAUAAACCCCCAAUAUUUUUUAUUUGCAAAGAAAUAAAUCUUAGACUUUAUGCCACAUUUGGAUGCUUGCCCGAACUUUCAAGUGCUCGAAAAUUAUAUAGCUGGCUGACCCGAAAUCCCGCUCAGCCGUCUGAAACACAUUUCAGGCACCCUUAGGAAAAAUCGAGCAUCUGAUUAUUUAAGGCAUCGCGUGACCAGUGCUCUUGGGUUGAGCGUCCGAAAGUCAUUCACACACCGUGGGGGACCGUCUGCAACGUGUUUCGGGAGCCCGUAAGAACAUUCAGAUGUUCGAUGUUUAAUUCCUGCACGCACCCGGGCUUUCAAGUUGAGAGCUUUCGAGUUGAGACUCCCUUUUUGACAUUUCGAAAUAUUUUUGGGCGCCCAAACCCUUGUUUCGGGUGUUGGAAAAGUCUGAAACUCAGCUUUUAUUUCUUUUGGAACUCUGUUUCGAUCCGAAUUAAUUUUUAUUCUGUUACAACAAAUGCACAAACGGAAACGAAAAUGGUGAACGCAAAAUAGACAAACCACAAGCAGAAAAAGAAGAACAUAGUGAUUUACGUGAAAAACCCCUCGCAGGGAAAAAUCACAGGCGAGAGAGGAGAGAACUUUACUAUCAAAAAAGGAAUACAAUGUUCGAAGUACAACCAACCACGAUCUAUCACCUCUCGGGCAAAAAACGAGAAAGGAAACUCUUAACGGGUUCUAGAUUCGAUCCAAUUGGAUCUGUUCCUCGUGCUCGAGCCUAUCGGUCUGAGCCCUCCGCUACCCACCACAAACAUUCAUUUUUCCUUUACAAAACUUAUUUUCAAAUUGUCGUACCGCGAAAUUGUCGACGAGUCGAAAGUCUUGAACUGAAAUCGAUUAUCAAUUUUGAGUCACAUCUAACAAAUCUCCACUUUGAUGAGAAAUUUUCUUUAAAUGAAGCAGUAACCAUAAUUCUCCACCUUCUCCACAAAGCCCCUGAGAGCGGUCCAAUGAAUAGUUAAUACUAAUCAAGUCCACGCAAUGCUUGAACUUGAGAGGAAUGAGAGACUUUGUCAACAUGUCAGCAGGAUUCUCAAGAGUGUUGAUCAUUUUCACUCCAAUGUCUCCUCGAGCAAGAACUUCAUGAAUAAAAUGAUACUUGAUGUCAAUUUGCUUUGUUAUCUCAUUAAACAUUUGAUUCUUUGUGAGAUAAAUGACACUCUGACUGUCGCAAAAUACUGUUAGUUUUGGACGGCCUCUGCUUAAUUCACGAAGUAGGCAUUUUAACCAAAUACCUUCCUUCACAACCUCUGUGAUCGCCAUGUACUCGACCUCCGUCGUAGAUAGUGCAACAGUAUGCUGUAAACAAGCUCUCCAACUAAUACCGCAUUCUCUAAGUGAGAAGACAUAACCAGUAAGAGAUCUUCUUUUAUCAAGAUCUCCAACAUAAUCAGAAUCCACAAAGCCUGUCAAACUCGUAGAUACUUCAAAAUUCAUUUCACAGCUUGGCAGUGUUGUUUUCCUAGAUUUGCCGUGUACUUACUCACCACGCUUACAGCAUGUGCAAGAUCUGGUCUCAUGCAAACCAUAGCAUACAUAAUGCUACCGACUACGCUAGCAUAAGGGACUAGUUCCAUGUAUGCCUUCUCAUCAUUAGUUUUCGGAGCCAAAUCAGUUGAAAGUUUAAAAUGUGUAGCGGAAGGCGUACUUAUAUGCUUAACAUCCUUCAUACAAAAGCGCUCCAACACGUGCUAGAUGUAUCCCUUUUGAGUCAGCUGUAACUUUUUUGUUUUUCUAUUUCGCUGAAUCUCCAUACCAAGUAUCUUCUUCGCUGCAUCUAAAUCUUUAACAUCAAAUUCAGAUUUCAACUUUCUUUUAAGAUCAUCAAUAUCAUCCAUGUUCUUAGCAGCGAUUAACAUAUCGUCCACAUAAAGAAGCAAAUAGAUAAAAGAGCCAUCAAUUAAUUUUUUUAGAUAAACACAACUAUCAUAAUUGCUUCUAUUAAAAUCGUGGCUAAUCAUAAAUAAAUCAAACCUCUUGUACCAUUGUCUUGGAGAUUGCUUUAAUCCCAUACAGAGAUUUCUUCAGUCUCCAAACGUGGUCUUUUUUUCCUUCAACCACGAACCCCUCGGGUUGCUGCAUAUAAAUCUCCUCCUCCAACUCGCCAUGUAAGAAAGCUGUCUUCACGUCCAGUUGCUCAAGUUUCAAAUCAUUCAUAACAACCAAUCCAAGUGGAACUCUGAUGGAUGUAUGCUUCACUAUUGGUGAGAAAACAUCGUUAAAGUCGACACCCGAAAUUUGACUGUAUCAUUUUGCAACCAAACGAGCCUUAUAUUUGAUACUCUCAACUCCUGGUGUGCAUUCCUUCUUCUUGAACACCCAUUUGCAAUAAACGGCUUUCUUUUCCUUUAGAAGCUUCACUAGAUCCCAAAUCUGAUUCUUAUGAAGAGAUUCCAUCUCUUCCUCCAUAGCGAGCAACCACUUCGUAGAUUCAUUACAUGAAACUGCCUCUAUAAAAGUGCAUGGCUCCUCAGACUCAUCUAUCUCUUGAGCAAUCAUAAAUGCAUAAGCCACCAAGUUUUGUUUCUUCGUAUCUCUGCGGUGGUUUAAUCUCCCUCCUUGGUCGAUCUCUGACUAUCGAAUAGGUGUUUGUCUGUGAUGGUGCCUGCGGCGCGGUAGGAGUAGAAUCGCCUGAAGAGGUACCUGAUGCUGGGGUGAUCUGACUUUUAGAGUUGGUUUGAAACUCCACCUCGACAGUUAUCUUUGAUGCAUCUACAUCUGCGUCUGUACCUGUAUCACAAGAAACACGCGACUCCUCCUUUCGGUGAAGCAUAACAGUUUCGUUAAACUUAAAAUCUCUGUUAAUAAUAAUUUUCUUAUCUUUAGGACACCACAACCGAAAACCUUUAUUACCAGAAGUAUAACCCAGAAACUUGCAUUCUUUAGAUCUAGGUUUCAAUUUUCCUUGAUAUGUGCAUAAACAGGGCAUCCAAAACUUCUUAAAUCAAAAUAACUAGAAGGGCGGCCAGACCAUACUUCUUCCGGAGUUUUUAGAUCAAUGGAAGUCGACGAAGACCAAUUCACUAAAUAGCAAGCUGUAGAUACAGCCUCUACCCAAAACUCCUUACCAAAUCCUGCAUUCGAGAGUAGGCAUCUUGUCUUCUUGAUCAAUGUUCUGUUCAUACGUUCUACCACGCCAUUUUGCUGUGACAUGUAUGCAACUGUGCGAUGUCUCUCGAUUCCGUCAUCUUUACAAAAUUUAUUGAAUUCCCCUCAACAAAACUCCAAUCCAUUAUCAGUGCGAAGGUGCUUAAUUUGCUUUCCUAUCUGCUUCUCAAUCAGAGUCUUCCACUGUUUGAAAGUCUUGAAUACAUUGUUUUUCUGCAACAGAAAAAAUGUCCAAAACUUCCUUCAGUAAUUAUCUAUGAAGGUUAACAAAGACUUCUCUCUACCUUUAGAGGGUACUAGUGCUAGCCCAAAGAUCUAAAUGGAUGUAAUCAACCGUUUCUUUGGUUCUGUGGACUGCCUUGCUGAAAUUGACCCUCUUUUGCUUUUCAAAAACACAGUGUUUGCAGAAUUCUAGACUACGAGUGUUUUGGCCACAAAGGAGUCCUCUUUUGCUCAGCACCGUUAAUCCUUUUUCGCUCAUAUGUCCCAGCCUCAUAUGCCAUAAUUUUGUGACAUCUGAAUCGGACAUAGAUGAAGAGAAAACCACAGCUCCACCUGUCACAGUAGAUCCUUGCAGCACAUAUAGUUUUCCUUCUUGCCUUCGACCUUUCAUCAUAACGAUACUCCUUUAACAAUUUUCAGAAUUCCAUCUUCGCUAGUGAAUUUAUAUCCUUUAGCAUCAAGAGUACUCAAAGAGAUUAAAUUUCUCUUCAAUUGUGGAACAUAUCUGACAUCAGUGAGCGUUCUGACUACUCCAUCAAAUAUCUUAAUGUUCACAGAUUCUCAUUCAACAACUUUGCAGGAUGCAUCAUUCUUCAUCAGAACAACUCCACCAUUAAUAGCUUCAAAAGUGGAGAAUCAAUCCUUAUUGGGACACAUGUGGAACGAGCACUCAGAAUCAAGGAUCCACUUUGUUCUAGCUCUGGAUUGAUCAUCGCAGACUAGCAAAACAUUCCCAUCACUGUUGUAAUCUUUUGCUACACUGGCUUCGAUCGGUAGGUUUCGAGCUAUCUUUUCCCUUUCGAUAACUUUUCCCUUAGGUCUAUUCCUUCCUUUUCAAUUUACAAUAGUCCGCCUUAAUGUGGCCCUUCUUCUUACAGUAAUUACAAAUCAAGUUCUUAUGCCUGGAUUUAGAUCUAGCCUUUUCUUUACUGUCACCAAAAUUUCUUUGCUUGGAUCUUCCUCUAGUAAAGAGACCCUCUGCCUGACUUUCAGUGGUACCACUCAUCUCCUUAUCGAUCCUCUCUUUUGAGAGGAGCACAAUUGAGACAUCUUCCAAAGAGAUGGUAUCAUGUCCAUAAAACAUAGUAUCUCUAAAAUUUCUAUAGGAAAACGGCAAAGAACAUAAAAGCAGUAGCGCUAAAUCUUCAUCAUCAUACUCAACCUCCAUCAUCUCCAGAUUAGUAAUAAUUUCUUUAAAUUCAUCAAGAUGGGUCUUAAUGCUCUUACCUUCUGUUAGACGAUGAGAAUACAACUUCUGCUUCAGAUGGAGUUUGUUGGUGAGACUUUUCGUCAUGCAUAACGUCUCCAGUUUAAGCCAUAAGCUUGCAAUAUUUUUCUCCUUGAUGACGUGUUGUAAGAUCUCAUUUGAAAGGUGUAGUUGGAUCUGCGUAAGGGCUUUUCGGUUUAUCUUCUCCUUUUCCGCUAUACUGAGGGAUGCAUGCAUCUUUUCCAUCCUGAGCAGCGCAUCUUCUAGGUCCAUCUGAGCUAGGAUUGCGUGCAUCUUUACUUGCCAUAACGUAAGUCUUGUGCUGUGGUCGAGUAGAGGGAGCUCAUAUUUCAUGGAUGCUAUUGAUGAAGAGAACCCUAAUCGAUGAACCUAGGGCUCUGAUACCAGUUUGUUACAACAAAUUAACACACAAACGAAAACAAAAAUGGCGAACGCAAAUUAGACAAACCACAAGCAAAAAAAGAAGAACACACAGAUUUACGUGGAAAGCCCUUUGUAGGGAAAAACCACGAGUGAGAGAGGAGAGAACUUCACUAUCAAAAGGGAAUACAAUGUUCGAAGUACAACCAACCAUGAUCUGUCGCCUCUAGAGCAAAAAACGAGAAAGGAAACUCUUAACGGGUUCUGGAUCCGAUCCGAUCCGUACCUAUUCAAUCCGAUUCGUACCCACAGAUAUUCAUUUUUCCUCCACAAAACUUAUUUUCAAAUUGUCGCACAGCAAAACUGUCGGGGAGUCAAAAGUCCCGAACUGAAAUCGAUUAUCAAUUUCGAGUCACAUCUAACAUAUUCAAUCGAAACUUAGUUCGGGCUUUUCUAAAUGCAUUCUAAUCAUAUACGACUUAAUUGUAUUUGAUCAAUUUAAUUAAUUUUUAUCUCAAGAGUUAUACAUAUAUUAAGAAUAACCAAGAACAACUGAUCAGCUACAUUAGAGUUUGUCAUUUUAAUAUCUCACCAAUAGAACUCUUCCUCACGUAGGGGUGAGCUGGAAGGUUUUGAUCGCUUCUCAGCUCGAACGUCGAACAAAAUGUCUACAAAGUUACAAGUUGAACAGUAUACGUAGAAGGGCUUGGCAGAGUUUGAACUUAAUUAACAUGCGGGGAUUGGGACAUCUGGCUUUAGGAGAGAGAUUAGAGAGAGAGGGAGAGAUCGGAGAGAGAGAUCGGAGAAGGAGAGUGCAACCAACAGAAACAGGAAGGGAUCGUGCGAGAUCGGCGAGAGAGGGAGGAGAAGGGUAGGGCCUUGCUCAAGAUUUUCUUGUUAGGAGUUUAAUUUUUGCUUUUGAAAGAUAUUGACAUCUAAGAUUUAGUAAAAUAAUUUAUUCAACAUAUGAGGUAAUUUAUUGUAUUUUGUAAACAUGAUUAGAGGUGGAAUACGAUAUACCGUUAUAAACAUUUAAUCACACUAUUCAUCCAUCAAAUAAUAAAUGCUCCUUGAGUAAAGUUUAGUUUGGUAAUGCAGUGGGGGCUAAUAUAUAUAUGUUUCUCCGGGUAAUUGUUGCCUCCAUAUUUAUAGCAUCGAAAAGGAAAUAUUUGAAGAGCUUUAAAAUUUUUAGACCUCUCAAAGUAUAAAACAUUUGUCAAGCUCCAUACUACCAAACUAGGUUUAAAUCAAGAGUAUACUAAGCAAUAUGUUUAUGUUUCCUAAUAGAAUCAUCUCUAUACAAGUUUUGUGCUGCCAGAAUAUUAUUUAUUAAUAUAUCUAUUUGUUAAAUAAUAUGAAAUAAUUAUUUUACUUUAAACAACCAGAAAAUAAUGCUGACGUGUGGACUAGGAGAAAACCAUUUUUUUUACCCUUCUUUAAAUAGGUAAAAUCAUACAAAACUUAUUAGUAUGAUGGACAGUUUUGAACGAUUAUCCAAUCUUUCUAAAUUUUAAUUUUACUAUCAAAACUUUUAAUUUGUUUGAUUUGAAUCGAUCAACGAUACCUUAACUUCAAAAUUUAUAACUAAUUGCUUACUUUUAGUAAAUUUAUAGCUGCGAGAAUUGUAUAACAUAUACAAUUUAAAUUUAUAAAGAUAAACGAUAUAUUCAAAUUUUUAAGUCAAACUGUUGUUAACCAACUAAAGAAAAUAAAUUGAGAUGUUAAAUAGUAAAAUUGGAUUUUUUUUUUUUUUCGAGUAAACAUAGAUAAACUCUAUUUGGGUUGCGUAUCAUAAAAAGUGAAUUAAGCAAAACAAACAAAAUACAUCAACACCAUAGUGCAGAGCAUGGUCCCCUACAAAGUGACCUCAGCUAAAUAGCUCAUUACCCAAAACUGCCAUGAAAAAGUGAAAGCAGUAAAAUUAGAUUUUUAAAGUAUUAGAUAGUGACUCAAAAUAUAUGUUAUAUAAGUUUGAAUAAGUUUUCUACGUUUUUUACCUAUUACAUAAUGCCAAUUAGCUUAAGUCUAUGAGAGGAGAUGAGAGGAGAUGAGAGGAGUGAACGGCAUUUCUAUAUUUUUAUAUUGGGCAUGGUCUCUGGACAGGUGUGGUGGUACUGCGCCGGCGCCAGGCAGAUACCCUUUAUGGGGAACGCGGUGCUGAGCGACGUGGUGGCAUGCGCAAUGGAGCUGGCGUCGUGGGUCUACCGCACGGCCAUCUUCCUGCUGACGUGCGUGCUCUUCCGGCUGAUCUGCUACCUGCAGCGGCUGCGGCUGCACGACUUCGCGGCAGUGCACUUCGUGGAGCACGUGGAGGCGGAGGCGGUGCUGCGGGAGCACCUCGACAUCCGGCGGCAGCUGAAGAUCAUCAGCCACCGCUUCCGCGGCUUCAUCGUCGCCUGCCUCCUCACCGUCACCGCCAGCCAGUUCGCCUCUGUGCUGCUCAUCACCCGCAAGCAGUCGCAGGACAACCUCUUCAACACCGGAGAGCUCGCCGUAAGUAGCAUGUAUAUAUAUAUAUAUAUCACUCUGACUGAUGAUAGCAUUAUCCAAAAUUAAUUAUCAACUCAUAUUUUUGUGUUUCUCCAAGUGCAGAUAUGUUCGAUCGUGCUCGUGACGGGAUUCCUCACAUGCCUGCACAGCGCAGCCAAGAUCACGCACCAUGCGCAGGCGCUGACGAGCCACGCCACCAAGUGGCACGCCUGCUGCACCAUCGACUCCUUCGAAGAAGUCGAACCCAACGGAUCAUUCGUCCGAGUUAUACCUGCUGCUAACCCUAGCUCCCUACUUCCGGAGUACACCAUAAAUGAGGAUGAGUCUCCUGAGGACACCGCAGACGAUGACGAUGACGAUGACGAUGACGAUUUGCUGGAGGACACGAAACUCGUGCACCCACACGCGCACACCAUUUCCUUCCAGAAAAGACAAGCGCUGGGUAAGCAACUGACCGACUUUGGCUCAAGUAAAGAAUACACUAAUAGCAUACUGCCGCACAUAUCAAAGACCCCAUUUGAAGUGAAAGAUGCAUGUACGCGCGGCUCAACUAGAGGAUUCACAUAUAGGGAGUUUGACGGUACAUUCCUGCCUAGUCAAAUUCUAACACACGGGCCCUCUCUUACUUAAUAGGCCACGAGUUUUCUGCAAACUCAGUACGCAGAAAAUUUCUGUACAACAGAGGGUAUGACUUUCCAUUUAAACACAAGGCAUAUUCUUAACUGUUGUCUCAGCCUCGGCGAAUUACUAAAACAGCUAGGAAUCUUCAAAAUAUUGUCUUUAUAAUUAAACUACUGAUGUGUUGAUAUGCAUGACGGUGAAGAUCUUUGAUUAAUUAAUUUAUGCACAGAAUUCAGUAAAAUAUAAAUUAAUUUGAGCCUAUAAAAAAAGUUUUCUUUCUGAUGAGCCAAAACAUUUGAUUUGAAUGGCGUUGCAGUGACAUAUUUGGAGAGCAACAAAGCAGGGAUAACGGUGUACGGGUACACGCUGGACAGGACGUGGCUCAACGCCAUUUUCAUGGUUGAGUGGACGCUCUUCCUCUGGCUCUUAGGCAAAACCAUUGGGGUCUCCUAAAGCUUAAUUAAAUACGAUGGAUUUUAUUCUUAAUCUCCUUUCUUCUUUUUCUCUUUCGCGUGUGCAGAUUCGUUUGUAUUAUUAUUCUCGUGCAUAUAACCUCGUAGAAAUUAAGAGCCAAAUUUCCCUGCUCUUAUUAUUUUCCAAGUCCCCUCCUCUUCAUGAUGGCUUGCCUCAGUGUGGCGUUAAUAAUGCUGUAAUUAACUUCAUCGAUCAAGACCCGGUUUGUGUGUGCGUGCAUGUGUGUGUGAUCUCCAAAUUAUUAGGUAACAGCCAGUUACCUAAUUUUUGAAAUUUGUAUAUAACCUAUAUUAUGGAAAUUUUGAGUCUCUCUUGCUCUCUGUAAAAAUAAGGCAAAUAAUCUCAUAUUAUAAAGGCAAAUACUCUCAUUACCAUAAAUGCUCUCAUGAUUGUCAUUAUUACCAUGUAUGCUCUCAUUCAGCUUCCAUAUUUUUCCCUAAUUAUGUAUCACUAGUGCAGAGACCCGCGCGAUGCAGCGAGUAGAUAAUAGAAGUAAAAUUUAAAAAUUUUAAUAAAUUUUAUAUUUACGAUUUAUUGAUAUAUAGAAAGCUAUAACAUAUUAAGUACGGUUAAUUUGUAUGACUAAAUUUACAUAGUAAGCAGAGGCCCCCACGCGGACCGACUCAGCGAGCACUUAUAUAGAUCCCGGCUCAGCUUCGUGGGACGAUGCUUCUUGAAGGAGACAAUAUUCUUCAGAGGCUCUUCUUCUUUUUCUUCUUCUUCUUUGUUAACACAAUAAGAGAAACAGGAAGAUGAGUGCGGAGUAGGAGAUUAGACGAUGAUAUUUUUUUAUGGUGCAUGUAAAAGAAUUACAAAAAAGAGGGGGUAAGAGAUUAAUUAAUAGAGGAGGAGAGUGGUGCAUGUAAAAGAAUUAUAAAAGAGAGGGAGUGGGAGAUUAAUGGAGGAGGAAAGUGGUUAAAGUUAUAAAAUAGAAUCUUAAUAUGGUGCAUGUAAUUAAAUAUUGCAUGUAAUUAGAGUAGUGGUGAGGUGAGUUAGGCGUUAAGAAAAAAAGAAGGUGGUUUGAUUUAAAGUUAGAUUUAAAGUUACAUAUAAUUAAAUGUUGUAACUUACAUAUAAUUAGAGGAGUGGGGAGGUGAAGAAUUGAGAGUUGAAAAGAGGAGAAGGUGGUUUGAUUUAAAGUUGGCUAUGAGAAGUAAGAAUAACACGUCACGUGACAAAAAAUAUUGUGGUUUCAUAUAGAUUUAUAGAUUAUAGAUAUUUAUCAUUUAUUCUUUUCCCGUUUUAGUUGAUUGAUUGCAUAUAUCUUCAAAGACUUAUCAUGUAAGCCUUUUAUUAUAUAAAAGAUGACAAUCCCAUGACAAUCCCAGAUGAAUAAGAUAUCAAUUCAGCCUGAUUCCACUUUUUCUUGUUUAUUAUAUAUAAUAAUGGUGUGAGAGACAGCGUACUCUAAUUAUUUCAUCUUUUUUUGGACAAUAGGCCAUUUAUCCCAGUCGACUUCAUCAACCCUAUCCGUCUUUGCAUGUUGUCGCCGUUGGAGACUACCAACUUAAUUGUCAUCGUCGGUACAGUCGAUGCUGCCGCUGCUACCGUAGCAAUUACUGACAUCGCAGUAUUUACGAGCUCCCGGUACUUUUUAGGGGGUGGAAAGCAGCCGAGCUGGAGCGAGUUUAUCUUAACUCAAGCUUGGCUUGUAAUUAAUUUUGAACAUAAAUUUAGGCUCAAACUCAGCUUAAAAUUAAUUCGAGCCAAGCUCGAGCGAGCUUAAUUUCGAGUCGAGCAAGCUCGAGCCCUAAACGAGCCGUUUGAAAUACUUAACAUAAUGUAAUCUAUAAUUUAAUUUUUAUAGAUUAUUAUCUAAAAUUUAAUUAAAAAAAAUCUAAUAGUUUGCAAUAUCCGAAAUUUUUGCGUUAAGAAAAUUUAAAAUUUGGAAUUUAAUAUAUAUAUAUAUAUAUAGUAGAGUUACUAUACUAUCGAAAAUAUAGAAAAUCUGGUGCUUUCGACUUUUUUGCCCUAAGAUCAACUCCUUUAGGCUCCAUUUGGAUACCCAUCAAAACGUAGCAUAGUUAAACUAUGCUACACCGAUAGUAAAAUUAUCUUAUGAAACAUUUGAGAGAAAAAAAAUAACGUAAUUUUUGAAGCAUAGUUAAACUAUACUCCAAAAAAUGAAUUAAAAUUAUAAUCCACUCUAACCAAAGGAAAAGAAUUCCACCAUUCUUGUGCUCACUUAUUUCAAAGAAACGUCAAAUUCUAACUUUUAAAUUUCAACAUAAAAUUUUAAAUUUCAAAUUUUAAAUUUUAUAAUUUAAUAUAUUCAAAUUUUUUAUUUCAAAUUUUAAAAUUUGAAUUUUAAAUUUUAAAUAUCAAAAACUUAAAUUUUAUAAUUUCAAUUUUUAAAUUUCAAAUUUUCUAAUUCUAUAAAUUCAAAUUUUAAUUUUCGAAUAUCAAAUUUUAAAUUUUANUUUAAAUUUUAAGUUUUAAAUUUUAAAUUUCAAAUUUCAAAUCUGAAAUCUCAUAGUUCAAAUUUUAAAUUUUAAACUUUAAAUUUUAAAUUUAUUAUUUUAAAUUUAAAUUUUCAAUUUUCAAUUUUAAAUUCUAAAUUUCAAAUUUCAAAUUUCAAAUUUUAAAUUUCAAAUUUUAAAUUUUAAGUUUUUGAUUUUAAAAUUUUAAAUUUCAAAAUUUUAAAAUUAAAUUUAGAUUUUUAUAUUUUCAAUUUUCAAAUUUUAAAUUUCGAAUUUCAAUUUUUUAAAUUUAAAAUUUAAAAUUUUACAUAUUAAAUUUUAAAUUUUAAAAUUUCAUUAAAAUUUUAAAUUUUAAUUUUUAAAUUUUAAUUUUUAAAUUUUAAAAUUUAAAUUUUAAAAUUUAACUUUUAACUUUAAAAUUUAGAGAAAUCUCGUGAAAUUGCACAUUGCGCAUCCAAACAGUUUGAAAAUUGAAUCCGUGAAAUUUUUUAGAGUUACAGGAUUCCCUAUUUUAUUUAGACCAAAACUACGGUUUAUAAAUUCCGUGGAGAUUUUUUACUGUGCAUCCAAACAGCCCUUAAUCAUUUCUAACCUUUGGAUUAAUACUAUUACCCUAUCGGGACUACUCAACCCUAGGGAUACUACUCAACCCUAGGUAGGACCGUCAUUAUCCCAACCGUACAAUUCUUGAUCUAAGGGUCAAAACAUCAAAAGUAUCAAAUUUUCUAUGCUUCCGAUAAUAUAGUAGCUCUAACUAUAUAUAUAUAUAUAUAUAGAGAGAGAGAGAGAGAGAGAGAGUUGAGCUAGAAUACUAUCGGUAGCAAACGAGCUCCGUUGCCACCCAUUUGUUUUCGAUGAUGGAACCUCCAAAUUGACGAUCGGCACCGUUAAAAAUAAUCUAUACCACUUGAAGUAUCUAGAAAUCAAAUUUCAUACUUUUCCGAUAUUGUUCUCUUAUCCAUCAAGUGGGCGUAAAAAUGAGUGGCUAAAAAUGAAUAUCCUCUAAAAAGUGAUAAUAGGAAUUUUGUGAUCAUGAUCGAGAGUAUAGAUCUUGUUCUAAAUAGUUUAAAGAAUUUUCUAACCAAAAUUCAAUUAUAUCGAAAAGAUUUAAAAUUUGAUUUCUAGAUACUUCAAGUGAUAUAGAUCAUGUUCAAUGGUGCUGAUCGUCAAUUUAAAAGCUCCAUUAUCGAAAACAAAUGGGUGGCAACGGAGCUCGUUUGCUACACCAAUAGCAUUCCAGCUCAACUCUCUCUCUCUCUCUCUCUCUUCCUCUUCUUUAUAAUAUAUAUAUAUAUAUAUAUAUAUAUAUAUAUAUAUAUAUAUAUAUAUAUAGUGUGUGUGUGUGUGUGAGUGCGUGCGCGCGUGCGCGUGGAGAUGGAAAGGAGAUAAGAAUUUCGCGAACCAGCGACUAGUUCUCGUGAAACAAAAUCAUGGAUGUAAUGGUCUGGCAGUGUCGGAAGCGCCGGCGCGAUCCGUUUGCAGAUCCAACGAGCGAAUCGCUGAGAAUUUCAUGCUUUUCAUGAAGGGGUCGAAUUUGGUUAAUCGGAGUUUUUGCAAAAAUCCGUAUAUUUUAUGCAUCGAAUCGCGCAUAUUCGCACAUGAAGGUGCGUACACGCGUUUUACACACUCUGUGGAGAGCAUGGCUAUAAUUUUCACUUAUCGAGGGAAUUACACACAAUUGUGUGAUCUCCCUAUAUUAUGGAAUUAGGGUUUUCUCCUCCAGCAAACACUAACCCUAGCCUCCAUCCCCUCCAACCCGAUCCCAACCGCCCCUUCUUUGCUAGAGUAGUGCACCGCGCGCUUUCAACCGCGAUGGCCGAAAUUUGGCCAGCCAACACAGUGCCACCAUCUUCUUUUUCUUCAUCAUCAUCUUCUUCUUUUUCUUCCUCUCACCAAUUCCUUUCUUUUUUUGUCUGAGAGCAAGGAGGAGACACCCUAUUCCUCGAGUCCCUAUCUGGCGCCACCCUAGGUCUCCGGUGAGGUCCCCCGACGGCCGCAGCCACCCCGGGUGCCACCACUGCCACCGUGGCUUUGUUGGAGCUGCCUAGGGCACGCGCGACCGAACCAAGGCGUACCGUCACCGCCGACACUGUCCGCCGUCUCCUUCCCCCUCCAUUCUAUCCCAGGUGGGCCCCACAGUCACCUCAGGCCGCCCUGACCACCUACGCCGAAAAAGGAACCCCGAGCCUGGUGUCACGGACAAAAUAUUUUUCGUUGACUUCUCCUUAACAGUGGCCCAAUAUCCAAAGGAGUGUUCUGUCGGAGGUUUUGCUGGGACGUUUUAAAAGCUCCUACACAGAUCUCGAGACUGAUGGUGCGGAUGCCGAAGGGUCAAGAGUCCCUUAGAGUUGCUAGGUGGGCAAUAAAUGUAGUCUCUGGGAAGCUCGUAGCAUCCCUCUUUUGCCUGUAGUUAUGCGCCACUUGGCUCCUUUUCCUUUGUAUCCUGGGUGACGAGUGGCCUAUAUAAGAAUGUGACCUCCACCCCCUCUCAUUAGGAAAUCAGUUGUACUCUCAACUUCUAUCAAUAUACAACAUUCCUCAAACUCUCUCUCUUAUACUUAGGCUUAGGGCGAAGAGGUCUUGACUUAGCAAGUAGAUAGGUAGGCUUGCUCACUUCGAGAAAGAAGGCGAGCGCCCUAGCAAGUAGAUAGGUAGGCUUGCUCACUUCGUGAAAGAAGGCGAGCGCCACACGGGCUAGACAAGCAAUUCGGCUUAAGUCUGUGACAGUUGGUAUCAGAGCGAGAUCGUUGCUAAGAAGCCAUGUCAACGUCGGAAGCUCUCGUCGGUGACGUUGUGCUUGAGCCUAGGGCAACCAAGUGCGACAAUAGCAAGGAGCCGCGAACUCUGGUGAGAGAGUCCGCCUCACUCGAGAACCGCAUGAACGUGCUAGAGGACUCUGUUGCGAGAGCAGAGGAGCACUACUCCGUCCUAUCCCAACAUGUGGGGAUGAUGGAGGAUGGGCCGCAUUGUGAGGAUGAGCGUUACGGCUGCCAUGGCGACUUUCCGCCAACAGCUCAAAGAGUUUCGCAGGGACCUCGCCCAUCGUGAGGAUGAGCAGAAGGUGCUGGUGGAGGACUCGAUCACCAGGGUCAACGAGGUCGAGGACCUUAAGAUGCGGGUGACCAUUCUUGAGAAGGCGGUGGUUCGAGGCAUCGAGACACAGAAGGAGCACACCCUAAAGAUCCACGUCCCUGAACCCUAAUUCUUCAAGGGCAAGUGUGAUGAAAAGGAGAUAGACAAUUUUCUUUGGCACAUAGAGCACUAUCUCAAGGCACUGCAGUUGGAGGACGAGGACGACAAGGUCCAAACUGUUUCCAUAUACCUCGCCGACGACGUAAUGUUGUGGUGGUGACGGCGUUCUGCAGAGGCCACGAAGAGCCAAUGUGAACUAAACACUUUGGAGGACUUCAUGUGCGAGUUGAAGGCAUAGUUCUACCCCGAGCAUGUCGAAUAUCUUGCCCGGAGGCAACUUCGACCGCUCAAACAUCGGGGCAUACUCAAGGAGUAUGUCUAGGAGUACUCGAAGCUCAUGUUGGCGAUCUCCAGCAUGAAUGAUGAGGAUCGAUUAUUCUUCUUCUUAGAUGGCCUUCAGCCGAGAGCGAACAAAGAGCUCAUGGCACCGGAUGUGAAGGACUUGAACUCCGCGAUCGCUUUGGCGAAGAAGUUGCCCGAGCAAGAGCGAACCGAGGGCGAUCGAGGUGAACCGCCAAAGGCGAGCGAGGCCAAAUGUAAUGCACUAGACCGUUGCAAAUUGCGAUGUUCGAGUGUUUGAUUUGUGUUCCGAGCUUUUCCAUACUUUCUGGAGGGUCGUAAAUAGCGUUCCAACCCAUGGCUCGCAUCCCGAGAAUCGAGAUUUAAAACUUAGCACCAAAGUCUCUAAAGUGAAGAUUGUUGGCUGCUCUCGGGUUGGACUCUGCAGAGCAGAGUACCGGUAUAGCAUCGGGCCUGUACCGGAACCAAACCUGGUAUCGGUACAACAUCAGACUUGUACCGGUACCCAGUGUGUUUUUCUGCCAACCCGAGGCUCGGGUUUGCGCGUAAAGUGGCUUGGUACCGGUACUCUUUUCCGUGUACCGGUACGCAGUGCAGACUGCAGUUUGGCGAUUUUUUAGGAGUGUUUUUGUUAUUGUAGCAAUAUUACACAUACCCCCCCAUGCUCCUUGCUGGUCCCCUGAGCUUGGACCAAUGGAGAGAAAGGUAGUGAAGCCCUCUUCUUCCUCUCUUUGAUUUUCUUUUAUUUUCUUGGGAUUUUUGAGGAUUAAACAUCUCAUUUUGCUCCUUUUUGCAUCUGGGUGCUAUUUCCACCAUGAGAGAAGGCUUGGAGUUUGGAUUGGAGCUUGUUGGAAGAGAGAUCUUCAACCCUAGCUCAUUCCAAUCCUAGUUGAGAGCUUCUAAAGAGGUUAGUAGCAUGUUUCACUCAUUUACUCCAUGAUUUGGUAGAUUUCAUGAGAUGAAAAUCUAGAAUGUGAAAACUAGGGUUUAUUUGGGGGUUUUUGAUUUGUGGCUUUUGGGGCUCAAUUGAUAGGUGUAGAACAUCUCGUUGGGGUAGAUUUGAAGGGCUCUAGCUUCCAUUUCGAAUUUGGGAGGGUUUUUCCCAUAUUUAGGUGAGUUUUGCCUUAUUGUUCGGUUGGUUAAAGAUGAACACUUUGGGUAUUUGUUUAUUUUGUUUAACUCUCUUAGAAUUUUUUUUAUAGAGCUAGAAGACUUGUGGACAACUUCUUUUGCGCGAAUGAAAGGGGUUGCAAGGAGCCUCGGUGGGUUUGACCUCACCAAAAUGAGAAAAUCUCACCUAUGUCAUUUUAAAUAUUGUAAAAUAGAAAAUCAUGCAUAUUCAUGCUAGAUAGGGCAUAUGUGAAUUUUAGAAUGCUUCAAAUGCACAUGUUAUGUACAAUAUAAAUUUGGACCUCUAUGUAGUAGAGAAUUAUUUAUGUUGGAAUCAUACAUAUGGAUAGCAUUCUUAUAUGUGGCUUGGGAUCGUAUUUCAUGUAGUGAAAAUGACGAGUACAAUAUGCUCUUGAACUUAGAACUCAUGUUGACAAAGGAGAAAACAUAAUGUCAUAAAGUGACAUUAGAAUUGUGAUGUGUAUGCACUUGGAAAACUAAAAUGUCAUAAAGAGGCACUAGACUUGGAUUAUGCUUGAUAUAGUGAACCUAAUGUCAUGAAGUGGCAUUAGAUGUAGUAAAUGGUUGAACGUAUAUUGUGACAUAAAACUAGACCUAUAAGGUUACUAGUAUUCAUACUAUGUUGAGACAUGAUGACAUCGGACUUGAGACGGUUGAUUAUGCUUGCUUGCCAUUUGUGCUUAUUCGCACAUGCUUUUGAGAGUCGUUCCCUACAAGCCGGCACUCCGGAGUUAGCCUACGCAACAUAAGUUCGCUCGUGCGGUAUUGAGAAGCCUACCGGGCCAAGUAGGAUAGACUCAUUCCUAGUGUGGAAUGCUAGGGCUACCACGGGCAGUUAGGCGGCACAAGCCGGACCACACUUGCGUGGAUCCUAAAAUGAGAUUGGACAUUAACAUAAACCCUUAGCAUGACAAUCACUACUAGAUAGAUUAUAGUAGUUGGAUUUCUUGGACGUGCUUGAGGCUUGCUAUUUGGACAUAUGGUUACUUGCUUAAACAUAGUAGUAUACUUGAUAGCCUUGUUUGUGCAUAGUAGUAUACUUGUUGGACAUGUUAAGAGUACACUAGUAUAUAUUCCAAUGAUAUACUCAUCCAUGUUAGGCUAGCUAAUGCAAUUGUGGAACUUCAUAUUAAGUAGAGGCAUAGUAGUUAACAAGUUUAAUUCAUAUUUUAAUAUUCAUGCUAUCAUUUCCAAUUAAAUGCUAGAAUUAUCUACUUUUGCUGUUGGCCUAGUGGUGCAUUUUGCUAAGAUCAGUAAUUGCCCACUGAGAACUAUUGAUUAUAGUUCUCACGCCCCCUGUUUGAUGUUUUCUUACAGAGCUUUCCACUCAGGGAGAGGCUCGGGAUCGCAGGAAAGGAAUCGCCUCGAGCUAGUUAGCGAGGGAUUUUACGAUAGGUGGUUCACCUCUCUUCUUGUUUUACUUUGGAGAGAAUGAGAGUUUUUGUACCCAUGUAUAGAGACCACCAUUUUUGAAUAUUAUAGCACUUGUAUUUGGAUUUUGUAGAUGUUCAACUUUAUGUUAUGUUAGUAGAUUAGUUCUUUUAUUUACCUCAUUAUUCUAGAAUAUAGUUGUUGUAUGCUCUAAUACUCCUAUAUGCUCAUUUAUUAUUAUUUUAUUUAUCGCUUUGUUGUAGACGCCUUAUAUGUUGUAGGCAUAUGGCGGGUCUCGACAAGCACUGAGCGGGCUUCCGCUGGGUCCCGAGGCGUGACACCAAAGGUGGGAGAGGGCACCUCGAUCUAGGGGGCGCGAAGGGGCACAAACUAAACCACGAUGCAAUGAGGCAACGACAGAAUCUUGCUCCGCUACCUGCAAAGAUCUCUUGCUAUAUUUGCAGUGAGAACCAUUGGGCGCGAGACUACCCAAAGAGAGGCAACCACAAAGAGAAGCAGGUUGCAGCGGUCCAAGCCGAGGAGGGCGAGGACGAGAAUGUGGUCAAGCUUCCAAGGAUGGGCGCGCUAAGGCUCGUCAAUGUAGUUCACGGUCAACCAGGUGGCGACAAGCUCCGUAGGAGGAAGCUCAUGUUUGUCAAUGUGAUCCUCAACGGGAGGACCACGCGGGCGAUGAUCGACACAGGCUCUACGCACAACUUUGUCGCGAAGGCGGAGGCCAAGCGGUUGGGCCUCACACUCGAGAAUGAUGCAAGCCACAUCAAGUCUGUCAACUCUGAGCCGAUGCCAAUCGCGGGGUUGCCAAGGGUGUGAAGAUAGCCAUCGAUCGGUGAAGGGGCAAGGCUAAUCUCACCGUUAGGCCACUUGAUGACUUUAGAGUGAUCCUCAGGAUGGACUUCCUCAUUUCGUUGAAGGCGGCGCCAAUGCCACACUUGUAGGUGUUGAGCUUCAUGGACGAGUCAGCACGGUGCAUGAUUCCAAUGUGUCGGGGUGAGCCGACGAAGGACCAAACUAUGACAGCCCUGCAACUUUACAAGGAGGUGAAGUGCGGGAAGGCUGAGGGACUCGAGGAGGAGGACCCGAGCAGCGGCGAGACUAUCCAGUCUCAUGUGGCGCUGAAGCAGCCAACACCUAAUCAAGAUGCAAGUCAUUCUGUCAAGCAGGAGUCCGAAGGGACCAAGGGGCGUUUUGCGGCUUGGCGAAGUGCGCGUGCGUGUUGUGGAGGACAUGCACACUUGGCAAAUGCUUCGCAUAGCGGGCUUACUACCGCACAUGCUCAAAAGAGCAGGGCACUAUGAGUUGGUACGGGGACAAAGGCGAACUGCAGUAGCAAGGCACGGGGCCGAUCGGGCACGAAGGCACGACAAACUACGCGAAAGGUUACGUGGACUGGGAGCAAAUCAGCGUGCGACAAAGGCAUAUGCGCAUUAGGUGAAAGAGGUUGUCAUGGACAAAAUAUUUUUCACUGACUUCUCCUUGACAGUGGCCCAAUCUCCGAAGGAGUGUUAUGUCGGAGGUUUUGCCGGGACAUUCUAAAAGCUUCUACGCGGAUCUCGAGACUGAUGGUGCGAAUGCCGAAGGGUCAAGAGUCCCUUAGAGUUUCUAGGUGGGCAAUAAAUGUAGUCUCUUGGGAGCUCGUAGCAUCCGGCUUUUGCCUUGUAGUUAUGCGCCACUUGGUGACUUUUCAUUUGUAGCCUGGGUGGCGAGUUGCCUAUAUAAGGAUGUGACCUCCACCUCCCUCUCAUUAGGAAAUCAGUUAUACUCUCAACUUCUCUCAAUAUACAACAUUCCUCAAACUUUCUCUCUCUCUUGUACUUAGUUUUAGGGCGAGGAGAUCCUGAGUUGGGCUUUUUUAUAAAAUGACCCUCUAAAAAAUCAAAAUUGGCAAAAUGAACCUCCAAAAUUUUAUUUGCAAACUAACCCUCAUUUCGCCACGUGGGCGCCACGUCAGGGUAUUCUCACAAAGACGGUGAAUCGUUCACCGUCCUUGUAAUAUUUGUUGUGAAGGCGGUGAACCAUUCACCGCCUUCACAGCAAAACCCACACUACGCCUAAAAUCGUUCCAAUUUUUGGGUGUUGUGCCCUUGAUAAGACGGUGAAUCGUUCACCGUCAUCAUAAGACGGUGAACGAUUCACUACCUUUAGUGCAACACCAGGUCCGCCUUCGUAGGCGUGCCGUAUCCUAGAGAAGACGGUGAAUGGUUCACCGUCUUCAUGUUCACCGCCUUAUGAAGAUGGUGAACCAUUCACCGUCUUCAUUAGGUAUACCUAGCACCCACCCCGACCCUGACACCUCUCCCUCCCUCUCGCACUUUCGCCCUCACUCUCUCUUUCUCUAUCUAUCUCUCUCUCUCUCUCUGCUCCUCCCUCUCUAGGAGCUCACGUCGCCCCCGCCGGUCGCCAUCGACCCCCGCAUCCGCCACUCAUGCAAAUCUCCCUCAGCAACCCACAUUGCAGGUAGCUCUCUCAACUGCAGUUAUUAGCACAGUUUAGAGAAAGGUUAAAACCUAGUUUAAACUAGGUUUAAACUAGCCAUUAGCCUAGUUUAGGUUUAAACUAGGUUUAAACUAGCUAUUAGCUUAAUCUAGGUUUAAACUUUUUGACGAGCUCGUAGUUUAAACUAGUUUUAAACUAGGUUUAAACCUAGUUUAAAUUAGGUUUAAACUAGCCAUUAGCCGAGUUUAGGUUUACACUUUUUGACAAGCUUUAGUUUAAACUAGUUUUAAACUAGUUUUAAACUAGCCAUUAGCCUAGUUUAGAUUUAAACUUUUGUAUUAUAUUCACUAUAUAUUUUGAGAGAAGAUUUGAAAGUUUUUUCUGUGUAGUUAAAAUGGCUAGUCGUCGAAUGUCUCUUAGUGUUCAUUGGGAUGGACAGUUAGUUACGGAUGGAAAUGGUCUCCGAUAUGUCGGCGGUCGAAAAAAAUUGAUCGCGAUUCGUUCAAAUGCGACAUAUACGAAUUUUGAGAUGAGAAUGUAUCGUUUAGUAAAUUGUAAUAGAGAAAAAUGUCCUCUUAAAUUCACAAUUCGAUGCCCUACGUGUCACGCCCCGGGACCGGCAGAGGCCUCCCGAUAGCGUGCCCAGACACGCCAUAUGUCAACACAUAUAAGGCGUCUACAACAACAGCGGAAAGUAAAACCAAAAGUAAUCUACAUCUAGAGAUAUCAGAGCACUGAUAGAUCUAUAGUCUAUAACAAGGUAAAAGAGGUAUACUAAAACGAUAAGAGUAAAACAUAAAGUAGUACAAUAACAUCUCCCAAAAAGUACACAAAGGGGUGGUCUCUAGUACACUGGUAUAGCUCUUAACCUCUCCAACAUAAAAACAUCGAGAGGAGGACCACCUAUCCACUCGUCACUCACUGAAGAGCUAGCUCGAAGCAACGCCCUUCCCACGGUCCCUAGCCUCUCCCGACGUGAAAGGUUUUGAAAGAAAACAUAAAACAGAGGGCGUGAGAACUAUAAUUUAUAGUUCCCAGUGGGCAAUUACUGACCUCAGCUCAAUGCACCACUAGGCCCCAAAAGAACAGGGUAAGCCAAAAAGAACAGUAAAAUGGAAUAAAUUGCAUUUGUAAAAGCAUAAGUAAAAUGCUAAAUUACCACACUGCGAUUAAACACGAUGUUAAUAUGAUGCACCUUUACUUUGUCAUAACCAUUAUGUCUCUACAUGGCCACAAGUAAAUAUCACGGUUUACCGAAUGAAGUUAUGAAGAUCAUGCUUUAUCAUGGCAACAAUGAUAUACGAAUACAAUAGCAACAUCUCCUAGCAUGCUACAUGUAUGUAUGUAUGCUCCAAUGUCCAAACUAUGCUAGAAGCAAGUCCAAGUAAUCCAACUACUACUCUCUAUCUAGUAGGGAUUAUAACACACUCGACACUGUGUCGAUUUCCAUUUCCAAUUAAGGACCUACCAAAGGUAGUCCAGCUUGUGCCGCCUAAGUGCCUGUGGUAGCCCAACAUUCCCACUCUUGGAAUGUGUCUGUCCCACUCGACCACGUAGGCUUUUCAAUACCGCACGAGCGAACAUAGGUCGCAUAGGCUAACUCCGGAGUGCCGGCUUGUAGGGAGCGACCCUCACAAGCAUGUGCAAAUGAGCACAAAUGGCAAGCAAGCAUAGUCAAGACUCAAGUAUCCAACCCUCACGUCUCAAACAUGGCAAUAGCUACUAAUACCCCAACGGUAUAGCUCUAUGUCACAAUGUGAUAGCUCAACACUCACUUGCUUAGUGCCUCUUUAUGACACUUAAGCACCACAACUAAUCAAGCCCAAAUCAUGUUCUAUAUUCCAAUUAAGACAUUAAUACCAAUGUUCACUAUAGCCCGGGGCCGAAUGCCUCUUUAUGACAUUGGCCCAAUCUCUCAAAUAGUCUAAGUCCUCAAGCCUCUCUAGGCUUCCAAAGUCUCUAAUGUCACAAUUAGGCAUAAGGUUAAAUGCAAGAAAGCAAUGUUCAUUUUCAUAAUAGGAAUCAUGGUUCCAAGUUUCCACUAGAAUGCUACAUCCCACGUGCAUGCACCCACCUCAUAGAGGUCCAAAAAUUUACUAUACAUAACGUAUGCAUGUUAAGCCUUCUAAAAUUCAUAAUAAAUAUGUCUAACAUGAUUAUAUAUGUUUUAUCAAUUAUCGAUACUCAAAACAUCACAAAUGAGAUUUUCUCAAUGUGUGGCUAAGUCAAACCCACCAAACCAUCGCGUAGUGCCUCGAUUUGUCGAACGAAGUUGUCCACGAGUCUCAAGAUACCCUAAAAGUAAUGAGCGAAGAGAUAUACGAGUGUUACGAGCAACUCUAAGCUCAAAUAUUAACCAUCACAAGAAAAGAGCAAAAACUCACCUAGGGAGUAGAAAACCUCUCUCAAGCCUCCAAAAGAAGGCUAGGAUCCUUCCAAUCUAUCCCAAAGGAAGGUUCUAAUCCAAAAAAUUUAGCCUCAAAAGCCCUAGAUUCAAAAUGCCCAAAAUAAACCCUAAGUCUCCAUCCUAGGGUUUCAUAUGGUAAAAUCUACCAAAACAAAGAUCAAAUGAUAGAAUCAAAGUACUAACCUCUCUAGAUGCCUCAAAACAAGCUCCAAAUCUUCUAGGGUUGAAGAUUGGUCCACCACCAAACCCUACAAGAAAGCUCCAAGCCUUGCAAGAGUGGAGAGGAGAGAAAAGGGGUUGACCUCCAAGCUCCCUCAAGCAAGCUCCUCCUCUUCUUCUCCUCCUUCUUCUUCUUCUCUCUCUAGAAAGUCUAGGGAGAGGGUGAGAAAUGAGGAGGAAAGAGUGGGAAAUGGCCAUAUAGACCAUUUAGAGCAACAAAAUCCAGAGAGGCCCCUCAAAAACUCAAAUUUGCAUCAGCCCGGUCUGGGCAAUUUUCCCCCAGAGGGACCGGUCUCUCCCUGCAAGGGACCGGUCUCUCGUGUCGAACCCGAGAAACCAACGUUCGGAAACCGGUCUCUCCCUGCGCGGGACCGGUCUCUCACUGUGAAGACGCGCUCGGGGACCGGUCUCGCCUGCCAGGGACCGGUUGCCUCGCCGACAGCGCAACACUGCUCACUGAGGGACCGGUCUCUCCUUUCAGGGACCGGUCCCCGAGGGUGAAAACUCUCAGGACUCGUCCAGGACUCAGGUUUUCGAACUUUUUGGAUCGAAAAACAUUCUACGACCCUCCACCAAGUGUGGAAAAGCUCGAAAUACAUCCAAACACUCGAACCUCGCAAUUUGCAAAGGUUCAGUGUGUUACACUACGGGAGCGAAUGAAUAUAUUACUCACGAUAUGGUAGAUGAUGAAUCAUUGGAGGGGUUAAUUGGAUUAUUUGAACAUUAUGGAUGUGUGUUGGUAUACAUCGAGAAAAAUUUAUAUCCGUCAGAGACUCAAUAUCAGUCGCAAGGCUAUUACACAAGGCUGCUUCAUAAUGAUAUCGAUGUGGGUUUUCCGGAUAAUCCAAUUGGUGACCGUGAAGUUGGUAAUGAACCAGUCGUAAGGAUUGACAAGGUAACGUGAAUAUUUUCUUUAAUUAUUAAAUAUUUUGAUAAAUUUAAAUUAUAAAUACUGCAGACAGAGUCAAUCUCCACGUCCGCAACCCUCGACCUCUCGUGCGCAACCCUCGACCUCACGUGAGGAACCUACGAUAUUUUAUGUACCUAAUGAAAAUUAUGAUUGGGUGUAAAGAAAAUUUUGAUUCUUUUUAAAUUAAUAGUAAGUGAAAAUGUACCUAAUGUAGUAAAGAUUCGGGACCUAUUGCAGGCUAUCUACAUCCUAUGAAAAUUGGAAUGAAGUUCUUGAUAAUAUUGUCGAUGAAGAAGAUGAUAAUGAUGGUAAUCAGGAGGAUGCACCCAUUCAUAAUGAUCAUCAUUAUACCAGCGAGGACGACGAUUGGAAUGAUCUAACUGCUGACGUUGAAGAUGAGCAUGAUGGUGGAUUAAAUUGCCUUGCGUAUACCAUUUACAGUGUGAAUGACGACCCGCAUGUAAACAACAAAUAUAUAGACAAUCCUGACGAGGAACUUAAUUUUAUUGACCAUCCGGAGCAAUUUCCUAUAGAUAACAAUUGGAUACAUCAGUAUGUUGUGAAUUCGACUGAGUUCGAUGUUAGACGUACCAAUACCGAUCUACCUAGCAUUGACGAAACUUGGCUUCGUCAAAUCUUUUAUGAUAAGACAUCUUUAGUGGACGCUCUAGAUCGGUGGCACAUUGCUCACAAUGUUCAGAUGAAGAUUUUGAAAUCCACCAAAACAACUUAUACAGUAAAAUGCACGGUUAAGGGAUGUCCUUGGAGAUUACAUACUUCAGUUCCUAAAAAUACAACAUAUUUCAGAAUUAAGACAUAUGCGGGUCAACACACUUAUGUUAUUCCAAUGCUAAAUACGACGCACCGUAAUUGUACUUCAAAUCUCAUAUGCAAAGUGAUUCUUCCGUUAAUGAAGGCAAGACUUAAUAUGACGCCAAAAGAAGUACAGGAAACGGUGCAAUCCACUUUGCAUGUUAAUAUAAAAUAUUGGAAGGCAUGGCUAGCAAGGAGUAAAGCAUUACAGAUUAUUUAUGAGUUGGGAGCAGUCAUAUACAGACCUGCCUCGGUAUCUUAUUAUAUUGUAGAGUAGUAAUCUUGGUACUGUUUGGCGACUUGAACAUAGAUGGCCAUCAGGCGGAAUAUGUCAAUUUGGUCGUGUUUUUUAGCCAUUUACUCCUUUUAUUCGUGGAUUCGCACACUGUCGGCCGGUAGUGAGCAUUGAAGCCACUCACUUGUAUGGCAAAUACGAAGGCCAUGCAUUGAUAGCGACGGUUGUCGAUGCAAAUGAUAGCAUUUUUUCUUUAGCAUUUGCAAUUUGCGAAUGAGAAAAUGGUGAAAGUUGGCGUUGGUUUUUACAAAACUUGCAGCAUUAUGUUACAUGCAAUCGACAGGUUUGUUUUAUAUCUGAUCGAUUUAGUAGCUUAAAGGAAAUAGUGGCUGAGAUAUAUCUUACGCGACAGAGGCAUGCACACCGGCAGUGUCUUCGACACAUGAAAGCAAAUAUGAAUAAGCGUUUUAAAAAUAAUUCGUUAUUGGACAAAUUCUAUACUAUUGCCAGUGCUCCAACAUCGGUAGAAUAUUAUAAACUUAAAGAAGAGUUACUUGCGUUGGAUUAGGAUGCUUGGAAGUGGGUGGAUGAUCUCGAAGAAUAUAAUGAGUAUUGGGCGUGGGCAUUUGAUGGAGGACAAUGCUUCGGGUUGAUGACCACCAAUAUGCCCGAAAGUUUAAAUAGGGUACUUAAGGAAAUUCGUGCUCUGCCUAUCACGGCAUUUGUUGCGGGGACAUUUUACAAGCUUAAUAGUUAUUUCUUACAGCGUCGUGAAAAUGGUAAAAAUAUAACGGCCACGUUAGCUCCUAAAAUACAAAUUCGGAUUAUAAUGAAUAUGGUGACGGCGCAGGGAUACAUUGUCUAUCGAUUUGGGCCUGUUAAGUUUGAGGUCAAACUGGAGAUUUCAAUUACAAUGUUUUCCUGAAUGGACCAGAUGCGGAUUGUGAUUGCGGCGAAUUCAAGCUAACGGGAAUACCUUGCUCACAUCUUUUAGCAGUUUGCAAUAAUUCGCAAAGAAGAAUAGAUUUUCAUAAUUUUUGUUCUCAUUGGUAUACUGUUGAAUGUUAUCGCCAGACAUACGCACCGCUUUUCCAUCCAGUUCCAGAUAGGCGACACUGGUCACGACCUUAGGGCCCACCAAUUGUACCACCUCCCGUGAGAAGGAAGAAAGGUCGAUCAUGAUCAACACGUAUUCGUAAUAUAAUGGACGAAACCGGUGGACGACGAACAAAAACAGGAAGGCCAUUAUAGAAACACUUGUCCACAAUACAAAGAGAGCACAACAAGGACGUCGACGUAGGACUUGUUACCUAACUUAAUAGUAUUUGUAAAACUUUCAAUAUUCAACACACUUUUUGCUAAUAUGUUACUAAUUACAAAAUCUUUAAAAUUGCAGAUGGCAGAUCUAGAGGACGCGGGACCAGUUGAUUCGUCCAUCCUGACAAAGCAGCAUCUCCAUAGGUCUGAAUUUAUCAGGAGUGAGGUGAGAACCAAAAAUAUUGAUCUAAAAGUUAUCAUUAGUAUUAAUGCAUAGAAAUGUUGCUCUAACUUUUUUUUUUCACUGUAGGAAUAUCGCGCGGUUCAGUUCACAGAGCAUGGCCGCAAAUUAAACCAGUGGGGACUUGAUCAUCCAGCGGUGCUCGAUCUGCUACGACAGACUGGAUUCUAUUAUAUUUCUCGACUUAGGCGUGUGCAACUGGAUCAGGCUUUAUUAGGAGCUCUGGUCGAGAGAUAGAGAUGAGAGACCCAGACUUUUCACUUCCGCCACGGUGAGAUGACGAUUACACUUUAAGAUGUGGCGGUUAUUUCUGGUCUUCUUGUCGAUGGAGAGCCUGUCACUGGGACUGCAGUAUAUCCGUGGGAGGAUAUUUGUCAUGCGCUUUUAGGGGUUGUGCCGGAGGACAUCAAAGCCAGUCAGAUUAGAUUAGAUUGUUUACCAGCACUUCCACCAUAUACAUUUGGAUGCCUCUGCAGGAUUAGUUGCAGCCACAGCACGUGCCUAUAUGUUAUAUCAGAUUGAAUGUAGCCUGUGUCACUCCCGGGAUCCAGCGGAAGCCUGCCCGGUGCGUGUCCAAACCCGUUAUAUGUCUACAACAUAUAAGGCGUCUAGAGCAAUACGAUAAAUAAAACGAAAAGAUAAUAACAUCUAGCACGAUAUCAGAGUAUAAAUACAACUAAUCUCUAAAGACAAGUAGGAAAAUAAAACUGAACAACUAAUAUAAACCAUCAAGUAGUACAUACAUCUCAAGAUCCACAUGAAUAAAGCUAAAUACAAAAGUAGUGGUCUCUAUAUAUAUCGGGUACAAAACGUCUCUCUCUCCAACUAAAACAAAAGGAGAGAUGACCACCUAGUAUAAUCACUGAGCUAUCUAGCUAGAGGCGACCCCUUUGCCGCAAUCCCUAACCUCUUCUGGAGUGGAUGGCUCUGUAAACAAAAACAUCAACAAAAUGAAAAUGAGAACUAUUAGUCAAUAGUUCCUAAUGGGUAAGCUGCCGACAUCAGCGAAAUACACCACUAGGUCAUGGAGGCAUAAGUAGUAUAUAAACAUGUAACGGAAAUAAACAACCUGAAUAUUAAGCAAGUAAUAAAAUUACUAAACUACCCUGCCUCUAUUUAGCAUGAAGUUUCACAUUUAUUAAAGCUAUUCUAACAUGAAUGGCAUGUCCAUCUAAUAUGCACUACCUAGUAGUGAUGUCCACAUUAUACUUUUAAUUGUCAUUAUUCGAAUCAACUAGAACCUACACAAGUGUAGUCCGGCUUGCGCCGUGCCUAAUGACCCCAUAGUAGUCAACAUUCCCACUCUAGGAAUGAGCCUCCCCCACGGUAUCCCAUUUCGGCGCUCAAUCCUGCACGGGCGAGCUUGUGUCGUGUAGGCUAUCUCCGAAGUGCCGGCUUGUGGAGAGCGACCCUGACAAGUAUGUGCGAAUAAGCACAAUAGCAAGCAAGCGUAAUCAUCCAUCUCAAGUCCACGGUCAUCAUGUUUAAAACAUGGUAUAAGUACUAAUGAACCAACGGUCUAUCUCUAUGUUAUGAAGUAAAGGUUUAAUCAUUUACUAAGUCAAGUGUCACUAUAUGACAUUAAUGUUCACUAUGUCAAGCAUAAGUUCUAUGUCCAGAAGUAUGUAAAACUUUUCAUUUCACUAAAUGAAACAUGAUUUCUAACAAUAUGUAAAGAGUGCCAUUUCAUAUGCAAGUUUACUAUACACUUUUCUCUCUACUAUAUAGAGGUUAUAAAACAUGACAUAUAACAUAUAUAUCUUAGGCAUUCAAAAAUUUAUUUAUGCUCUAUCUAGUAUGAAUAUGCAUGAUUUUUUAUUUUACAAUAAAGAUAAUGACAUAGGGAGAGUUCACCCAUUUCGGUGAGGUCAAACCCACCUAAUACCCCUCGAAAUCCCUUCGUUUGCACGAACGGAGUUGUCCACAAGUCUUCUGGCUUCCUAACAAAAAUUUCAAAAGGGUUAGGGGCUUCGAACGAACACCCCACGAAUUUCUCAAAAAUCAACCCAUAAAUAGGUAGAAAUAUACCUUGUAUGGCUAAGAACUCUCCCAAAGCUCCAAUGAGAGCUAGAAUACUUUAAUUCCAACCUAAAGGAAGGUAUUGGAACCAUCAAUAUAGUCCCUAAGGCUCUAUCAAGAGAAAACCCAAAAUAAAACCCUAGUUUUCAAAACUAGGUUUUCAUCCCAAAAAUUCUCUCCAAGCACAAUCUAAGGAAGCAAUCAAAGCUACUAACCUCUCCUCAAGCUCCAAACCAAGCUAGAAGGUGCUAGGGUUGGAGAUCUUUUCUCAACAAAGCUCUAAUCCUUCACUCCAAAGCUUCUCCAAGGUCCAAAUAGCAACACCCAUGAAGAAGAAGCAAAAAGAGGAGAUCAAUCCAUGAAAUCUCUCAAGAAAAAGAGAGAAAAUCAAGAGAGGGGAAGAGAAGAUGUUUACCUCUCUUCUCCUCAAGUUCCAGCACAAAAGAACCCCUCAUGGGGGUGUGGGGGAUUAUAUAGAGAUGUAACAACCCCAAAAAGACCCCUCAAGAACAUGCAGUCUUCAACUGCACUGCAUACCAGUACGCGGGCUGGAGUACUGGUACCCGGCAGCUGAACGGGCAAACCCGAGCCUCUGUCAAGCGAACAGCGCGCAGUGUACCAGUACCCAUGCGAUACAGUACCAUACCAGGCUCCAGUACCGGUACUCGGGCAACUCAGUACCGGUACUCUGCCUCGCAGUGCUCAAACUCGAGGGCACCCCUCUCGGUUGCGCAAUGGGGUUCCGGUACUCCUCUGAGGUACCGAUAUCCAGCACCCCAAAACCUACAAUUUGGAGGUUUUGGUGCUAAGUAUCCACUCUCGCUUCUCAAGACGCGUGUAAACGGGUCGAAAUACAGUCUACGACCCUCCAACACACCAAGAAUAAUACUAGAUACUAUUCGAACACUAGAACCUUACAAUUUGCUAAAGUUUAAUGUGCUACAGCCUGUUUUCGAACAUCACCUAAUGUAGAGUUCACCUUAAGUUGCUACCACUUUUGGAGGGUUUUGAUGCCUAUGGCGGGUUAGCCUGGGGUACAGCAGCAUUGGCCUAUCUUUAUCGGGCAUUAGGGUCGGCUUCAUUAAAAAGAAAGGCUGAAUGCUAUUGCUUUGCGACAUUAUUACAGGUAUAAUAAGUAAUAUAUUAUAAUUGUUAUAUAAAGCUUAUCCUAUUUAAUUUCACUUGUUUAAUUUAUUGUAAUUUAUUUAUAGAUUUGGGCGUGGGACCAUCUUCACAUCGAGCAACCUACUGGCAUUGGAGCUAUUGCCGAUAUAGCUGAUUGACCUUUGGGUUGCCGGUAUGACAUAUAAAUUUGAUACACAUUACAUUUCUAUAUAUACAUUUGCAACUAACACGUAUAUUUUCAAAUUUUAGAUGGUCGAACGCCAGCGAGUUACGUUUUGGAGCAAAUGUUACGACAACGGAUAUUGAGCUCUAUAAAGAUGAGUUAGGUUAGCAGAGAGAGUCCCAGGUACGUAUUAAUGCAACCAUCCUUUUCAAUAUAAUACAAACAAAUUAAUACAUUUAGCUGACUAUUAUUGGCUUUUUCACAUAUUAUAUGGAGGUUGUACACAGAUACUAUUAUAGCCGCGCUGCCGGCAUUUUGUGUAUAGGGCAGUGAGGUCUGGCCGUCGAGGACGACGCCGAUUUCUUUUCAUAUUGUUGAGCUUCAUGUACCUGAUCGAGUCCUACAACAGUUUGGCCUCCUCUAGCAUAUACCUAUUAACAUGGAGACCAUCCGUCGUGUCACUUCUCAAGGGCGGCCAAAUGAGGAUUGGGCAAUCUUUUAUGCUGCACACAUCGAGAGAUGGGGACAGAGAAUACAGGCCAUUUUUGACUAGCUGCCGAUUGCCGGUGAUGACCCGAUACAGACGACCUCCAUUUAUAUGCAGUGGUAUUUGCAGAUAACGAGAAGAUGGAUUUCUCGUUCAGUACAGCGUCCAUCAUUGACUUACCAGCCUCACGGCCAAACCGAGAGAGCUUUGGUACGAUCACUCAUAUAUUAAUUAUUUUUUAAAUUUUAUAUUUAAUAUAGAUUGGAAAAAGUGAAUUUUUAUCUAUAAUGCAAGUAGACGCAUUGCGACAGACUCAGUAUAGUAUCAGAGAGCUAGUUGAUGAUCCGGCUGCGAUCCAUACGAUGCUGGAGUCAUUGACGGGCAUCUAUGCCCAUAUUGAGUCGGUACUAGAGCACGUUCCUGCCAUACCUGUUGUCGCUGAUAUAGGAGGUCGAGAUUUUGGUCAUGCCUCGACAUCGGGUCAUCACAGGAGACAGUCACCGUCUCCUAUUGGAUCAUACUCAACAUCGAGCCAGCGAGUGUCACGAUCUUCAUCUCCUACUGAUGCUGCAGAUAUGCCCACCGCCCCUUCGACAUUUUUUUUCUUGACAUUGGACUCGCUUCCACCACCAGUCUCUCGAGAGUACUUUAGAUCUGUCUAUUCUCGACGUCAUGACGUGUCAUCAUCACAGCCCCGCCCAGCAUCUACACCGGCCACUGUCGAGGGUGAUCGACCUGAGCGAGAGGAGACUCAAGCGAUUCCGAAGCAUCCCGAGGGCAUCAUUAUUGCGGAUCUCGAUCAGAUGGCCGGUAUCGAGCCACUUGAUGACGUACCUAUUGCUAAACUCGAUGUGGAUCGUGGCCAUAGACGUGGACGUGGUCGUGCACAAGGACAUGGCCGAGGACAUCGAGGGAGAGGAAGAUCGAGAAACUGAUUGUAUCUUGUUGAUUUAGAUCAAAUACAUUAUAUAAUAUUAUUUAUCACUUUAUUUUGUUCAUAUUUGUAUAUUUUUCUGUGUUUUUGUUGAUAUUUUUAUGCUACUGAUUGUGUCUUGUUGUUCUACUUGUCUUAUUGUGUUUCUUGUUGAAAUGUUUGUUCUCGUGAAAAUUCUUGCCUCAAAUUUGUUCAAAUUGUUUUUAAAAUCUAACUGAAAAAAGGUGCUGGUGUUGUUUGUACUAAAGGCUGUGAAUGGUUCACCGCCUUUAGUGCAAAAUUCCCGAAAGCCAAAAAAAUUUGGCUAAGUCCUGGACUGGGGACUGUUUGCACUAAAGACGGUGAACCAUUCACCGCCUUUAGUGCAAACCCCAGAGUGCAGAACCUGGUGAAUCACUAAUAAGACGGUGAACUAUUCACCGUCUUCAUGAAGACGGUGAACCAUUCAACCAUUCACCGUCUUAUCUGUGUUUCAGCCCCGCUUAGCCAAAUUUUGCUGAGUUGGGGUUUUACACUAAAGGCGGUGAAUGGUUCACCGCCUUAGUGCCCCGUCUUCUCGAGGGCACAGGAAAGGCGGACUUGUAAGGGUGCAGUGUGGGGUUUUGCUGUGAAGGCGGUGAAUGGUUCACCGCCUUCUGAAGGCGGUGAACCAUUCACCGUCUUCACAACAAAUAUUACAAAGACGGUGAACGAUUCACCGUCUUUGUGAGAAAACCCUGACGUGGCGCCCACGUGGCGAAAGGAGGGUUAGUUUUGCAAAUAAAAUUUUGGCAGGGUCAUUUUGCCAAUUUUGAUUUUUUGGAAGGUCAUUUUAUAAAAAGGCCCUCCUAACUUAGCAACUAGAGAGGUAGGCUUGCUCACUUCGCGAUGAAAGGCAAGCGCCGCACGGGCUAGACAAGCAAGCUUAAGUCCAUGACACCAGGCUCACCUGUGCAGGCUCGGCUUGGUCCUGCGCCGUCGCCCUGGCUCCCGCCGCCAGCGUGCACGAGCACCGACCUCCCCCUAUCGGUCACACCCUCCUGCCGCCGGCACGCAUGCCGCUAACCUACCGGCGGCCAGGCCCGAACCUCACUUCUCCCCAACGAGCCAGUUAAGGCUUGAUUGGUAUUUUUCGCUAUUUCGAUAACCCGGGGCCAUCUCGAACCCUCCGAAAGUGAGUAUGGUGAUCCCAGACUUCCUUGAUCACUAUGCUCACCUUGUUCGCUGUCGAAGAGGCCCAGAUAAUCAGAUUCGCCUUCGUCGCUCCGAUGCACACCACCCACUAAACUUCGGCUUGCCUUCACACGUUCCUCGAUCAUUUCCUAUUCUCCAGAAAGGGAGCACGAGCUUUGCCUCGACGAGAUCUGUCAGCCAGUACCCUCAGUUGGCCUCAGAAGUGCAUAAAUCUCGGUAACGGUCUUAAACUCCCCUAAUUGUAUGUUGUUGUCGCAAAUAUUGAAUUGUAGUUAGGCUUUUGUGCAAUUGCUGCUCUGUGGGUUGUUGUGGGCAAUAUGUAAUCACUGGAUGUGACCUCUAAACCGACACGCGUAUUUGGAUUGGGUAUUUUUGGACUAAUCGUCCGGUUGAUGGAUUUUAUUUACAGUAGCGGUAGUUGUACAUGUAUCUUACUUUCUCUUCUGCAUUGCUACUGUAUUACCUUUCAUAGCUAUAUUUGAUUGCCACUAGGUACACUCGCCCUCUUCAGCUUGCGGGACCCACUAAGAGACCCUUUCUAGUUUCUCACCUCUCCCUCUUUCAUGUGACUUGGGCGGUGAGAAUCUAAAUGAUGCGUGAGGUGUGGUAGCUAGACAGUCCUAUUAGUUUCGAUGGUAGCGUAGUGUGGUUGCCUUCCUUACCUUUUUUCUUACCAGCACUUAGACUAUUAUGUGGCUUAGUUUAUGAUGAUUAUCUUGUUUUGUACUUAGAACAAAAGUAUUUCAAACGCUUGUAGCUUUAUAUGAAUUAAAUGAUUUUCUACCCCUCGAGGUAGCUCGUUUUCAAAGAAUUAAAUGUUUCCAUGCAGAAAACAAUUUCAAAAGGUUUUCUGGCUUUUGAGAUUUUAGUAUUUCGAAAUAAAGUUUUCGGCCAUGUGGGAAACACCUUCAACUGAUAGAUAUGGAAUGUUUAUGGAUUAUGUGAUGUACAGUUGUGAUUGUAAUUUAUGAGUGGAUGUGGUUUGUGACUUGUAAUAUGUACGACAUUGUGCAAAUACAAGAGAGACUGUAUCCAUGUGGACAAAGAAUUCUCUAUGUUUGUAAUAGGUUUUUCAUCCCUUGGGUCAAGGUUUCAAAAAGGGGGGGGGGGGCACUUUCCGCUGACUAUGUUUCCAAAAAAAAAUUGCCUAUAUUUCAAUUGGCUUUACGAAAAGUGACCUUGGGGCGUGAUAAAUUAAGGUGGUAUCAAAGCCAAGUUUACAACCAUGGCUUCACUCACGAAUUUUUGAUAGCGAAGAUUGUUUCCUACUAGAAUUGGGGUUUUAGGGUUAUAAAAAAUCUUGUAAUUAAUCUUUAGAGGUUAGAGUCUCUUUGUUGGAGGUUUCUCAUAAGAGCUUCAUUGUAGAUGUACACCCUAAUUGAGGAGAAAACGUGGAGAGCUCUUGAGAGAGAGUUUUUUGUAAUCCAAUCUACUCCUUUGUACUUUUGUGCCGUGGAUUAAUUGAAGAACGCAUUGAGGUGGUUUUGCCCGUGGACGUAGGUUGACUCAUCGUUGGCCGAACCAUGUAAAUUUUGUGUUCUUGUGUUUUCUUGUUUAUUUUAUUGCUUUGUUAUCCUCGUGCUCGUUUUCUACGAUCGUUCUCAUCUUUUUCAUCUACGAAAGAUCAUGUUUCCACUGUGCUUGUGUGUUGUGUGGGUUUGAGGUGUGCUCGGUAACCCCAAGGCCAGUUCCCUUUCAGUUGGUACAUGGCAUAAAGUUGGCCAGUUGUUUGUCAUUGAUAGUCUUCAUCUCUCUCCUCAGGGUACUAAUUGUGAUGUCUCCUCUACUACUUCUUCAAUAUCUAAAUUUUGACAUCAAAAACUUGGAUAUGUUUCCUUUUAAGUGUAUGGUUAAUAAAAGAUUAUUAGAACAUGUAUCUUUCGAUAAAGAUUCUUGUUGUGUUGAUUGCAAACUUGCCAAACAACAUGCACUUGCUUUUACUCUUAGUGAAUUUGUAACUUUUGCUCCAUUUGGUUUGGUUUACUCUGAUAUUUGGGGACCGAAGCCUACACCCUCAAUGGGAGCUGCACAUUAUUAUGUUAUAUUUGUAGAUGAUUACACCAGCUAUAAUGGAUUUAUUUGAUGCAUAAUCAAGCUGACUUUCUAGAUAUUUAUAUAUAUUUUUCAACUAAUGAUAAUAACCCAGUUUUUGAAAACUAUAAAAAAAAUUUGAUCUUAUUCUGGUGGGGAAUACAUAUCACAUGCUUUUAAACAAUACCUCAUUAUCUCAAGGUACUCUUCUUCAAUUAUCAUGUGUUGAGACACCUCAAAAAAAUGGAGUUUCUGAAAGAAUGCACCAUCACAUUAUUGAAAUUGCAUGCAAAAUACUUCUUUCGGCUUAUGUUUCUAAGAAAUUUUUGGGUGAAGCUAUGCUCAUUCCUGUUUAUAUUAUCAGCCACAUUCCUUCACUUGUCAUAAAUGAUGAAAUCUCUUUCCAAUGUUUUUAUAAUAUUAGUUUAGAUUACUCAUUUUCGUAUUUUUGGUUCCACGUGUUUUGUUCUUCUACCCAAAGAAGAGUGCAAUAAACUAACCAAGAAAACCGCUAUGUGUGUUUUUCUUGGUUAUAGGCUUCAACAAAAAGGCUAUAGGUGUUUAUGGCCCCAUUGCUAAAAAUUUGGUAUCUCUCAUUAUGUCACAUUUUGGGAACAAAUAUCUUUCUUCACUCUUCCAACAUCAAAAUUUUCAUCUAGUUCUCUGCUUUUGGACCCAUUUCAAGAGAGUCCUCCAUCUGAUAUUCCCUUAGAAACAACAGACAUUGGUCAAUGUGAUCUUCAUCUCAACCCUUCUUGCCUAUCUACUAAACCAGACAAUAUGCAACUAGAAAGAUCUUAUCCAACUCGCAAUAGACAACCACCAAAUUAUCUCAAUGACUAUUAUUGUUACCUAUCCUCUAUUUUCUCUACCUAUGAACCCAAAUCUUGCCACAAAGCCUCCUCUGAUCCUAAAUGGCAAGAAGCCAUGGAUGAGGAAGUUAUUGCUCUUCAAAAGACCAAUACUUGGGAGCUUACUGAAUUGCUACCAAAACAAUCUACUAUAGGUGUAAAUGGAUCUAUAAAAUCAAACAAAAUCAAAUGGUUCUAUAGAACGAGAUGAAGCAUGACUCGUUGCUAUAGGCUUUUCCCAAGAAUAUGGAAUCGAUUACGAGGAAAUAUUUGCUCUUGUCGCGGGAAUGACUACUGUGUGUAGUCCUGCUAGCUGUGCCAUCUUUCGGGGUUGGAAACUUCACCAACUAGACGUCAAGAAUGCAUUCUUAAAUGGUGAUCUUUCUGAUGAAGUAUAUAUGACUCCUCGAGGCUUAUCUCAUCCACCACAGUAUGUGUGUAAGCUUCACAAAGCCUUGUAUGGUCUUAAACAAGCUCCAAGAAUAUGAUUUGAGAACUUUUAUUGUACUAUCCUCCAGCAAGACUUUUCUCAAAGCAAUCAUGACUCAACUAUGUCUAUUCGUUGCUCAUCAUAUGGUAGAGUUGUUCUUCUUUUAUAUAUCGAUGAUAUAAUUAUGAUAGGCAAUGACAUGGAGGGAAUUUUUUCGAUAUCAAACACCAGCUCAGUAAAUAUUUGCAAUGAAAGAUUUUAGACUAUUUUGUUGUUUUCUUGGUAUUGAAGUAGAUUAUCAAACCAAAAGUCUAUUUCUUUUCCAAGUAUGCUUCUGAAUUACUUAUUCAUGCUGGAUUGACUGACAACAGACAGCCGACACUUCUCUUGAACUUAAUGUCGAACUUUAGCCUAUUGAUAGAACAUUGCUUUCCAAUCCAACUCUCUAUUGACAACUAGUUGGUAGUCUCGAUUAUCUUACGAUUACUAGACCUGAUGGCAGCUGUGUUGUUCAAAUGUCAGUCAAUUUAUGUCAACUCCCUAAAUAACUCAUUAUGCUGUGGUCCUACGAACGCUUCAAUAUAUUCAAAACACAUUACAUCAUGGUCUACUUCUUCACAACUCAACGGCUCCUAUUCUUCAGGCAUUUUGUGAUGUUGGUUGGAUUGGUGAUCCAACUGAUCGACACUCCACUACUGGCUUUUGCAUUUUCCUUGGAGAUUCACUUAUCUCAUGAAAAAAAAAAAAAGGCAAACUAUCGUUGCUUGUUUGGCUUGGAUGGCUUCUUAUCUACAUGGGUAUUCGGAUAUCUUCUUCUACCCUAUUAUUUUCUGAUAGUCAAAGCACUAUCCAAGUAGCUCAAAAAGAUAUUUUCAAGAGAGCACUAAGCAUAUUGAAGUUGAUUGUCACUUUAUUCAUCACUAGUGAAAGCCCGCGCUUCGCGGUGGGACAUUUAUGCAAAUUUCAAAAUAUUUUGAACAAAUGUUUUUAAUUUUAUAAUUUCUAAAUCUAAUUUUAAAUUUUAAAAUUCAAAAAUCGAAGAGAGAGAAAAAUUAAAAAAAAAUAUUUAAAUAGAGAGGGAUAAAAAAAUUUGGAAUUUAAAACACGAUUUAUUAUAUGUAUAAUUAAUAAAUUAAUUAAUUAUAUAUUAUAUAACAUUAUUAAUAAAUUUAAUUAAUUAAUUAAAUCUACAGAGUUUAGAGAUUAAAAAUUUUAAAACUUUGAAGUUUAAAAUUGAAAUAAAUAUUGUAUGCUAAUAGUUAAAUUUAAAAUUUUAAUAUAAAAAUAUAAAAUUCGGAAAUUAAAAUUUUAAAAUCUCUCUCUCCCUCUGUAUGACAAAAAUGUGGAAGAUAAAGUGCGCCACAAAAUAAAACUAGGAAUUAAAAUCCGGACCUUUUGGAGCCACCAAGAAUCGUGAGUUGUGAUAAAUACGAAAUACUCAAAUCAGCAGCAGAAGGCCGACUCGAUUCCUGCAAACAACAAAAGUUCGGAAUUUAAAUAGGAAAUCAAUGCUUGCAAUCUUUUAAAUACAAUUCUGCAUUGCAAAUUUUAAGUUGCCAAGUUUUAACCUUUUAAGCUUUGGAUUCUGAAUUCUAAAAGCUUGUUGGUGCAAGACAAUAUUAAAAACUGCGAAUACAGAGUUCUAAAUUACAGUCCUAAAUUUUGAAUCCCAAUUUUUUUCAGAUGCAAUUUUAACCUUUAAGAAUGCACAAUUCUAAAAUCUGGAACACCGCCGCCGCAAUUCAAAUUGCUGAAUUUGAACCCUCAUUUGCACUAAAUAUCCUAAUGCAAUUCAGGCCAUAAUUCCCAAUUUCAAACUUUUAUAUGCACCAAGUACUUUACUGUGAUUCUGAGCCAUGCAUUCUAAUUUCUGAAUUUAGAAUUUAGCUAGAGAAUUUAGAAUUCAGCUAGAGAAUUGAGAAUUCAAGUAGGCAAUUCGCAGUUCAACGAAGAAUAGAAGGGAAACAAAUAUCCUUUGCUCAGAUUCUCCAUGAAAUCAAACAUCAUCAAUUUGGAACCGAAGCCUCAUUAGUUAGUAGUGCUAAUUGUAUAAGAACUGGAAGCAUUUCAGCACAAAAUAAGGGCAACUGGUUGAGCCUCUCUCAAUGACCGCAAUUAGCUGAUAUUCAAGGAGAAGAUCAUCAUAGCAUGGGAACUCAAAAUUAAGCUAUGAAAUUUGGAAUUCUAUGAAGAAUAUAAGGCAAGAUAAUUUAGAACUCAGUCAGCCAACCUAGAUUCCAAAUACAUGAAGCAUAUAGUAAGAGCGAAAGAUCGGCACUUUUCUUUCCUGUUAUAAGAUCUCGAGUCAGAAUUAAAUUGUAAUGUUGACAGCCAAAAGCAUUUACUAUGGAAUUUUCGAAAGCUGAGGUAAUUGAUACCAAUGAAAAUAAUAAAAAUCCCACACAAAAAUCUUAAGAUAGAAAACAAAUCCAAUGAGAAUUAAUUUUUUUUACCAAACAGCCCAAGAAAUCAUACGAAACAUUAAAAAAACUUAACUUGAUAACUGGAAAUGGAAUUGUCCAUUAAUUAAGGAUAUAGGAAGAUUAAAUAUACCACCCAACCUAGACUUUGGGCCUGAAACAGGAAGGAAAUUUGCAUAAGUGUGCAUGCAAAACCUAAAGCUGUUGCAACCACCAAAUAAUAAAAAAUAGUGCUAAAUACAGAUUGUGAAUUGGAACGAAAAAAGUGAUCACCUGAUUGCCAGGGAAGAAAACUCAUACCCCUUUCCAACACAAUAAAAUGGUUGUGUACAAUAAAAUGGUCGCCAAUUGCCGGAUAUAAAAUUAGUUAUUUCCAUGAUGGAUCUAACGACAUAAGCAAUGAGGGAAAACAGUACGGGAGAAAAAGAACUAAAUAAAUAAUCUAUAGAAACAAAGAAGUAAAUAGUACAGAAAAACACAAAGAAAAACCGUAAUAGAGAGAAAAUACAUAAAGCUCUUCCUGGACGACUUCUAAAGAGGCUCAGAUAUACAUAUAAGGCUAGAUAUCUAAUUAAGCUAUAGAACAUUUCAGAUAAAAAGGGAAAAUAUAAGCUUACUCAAUGUUCAGUUUAUCAACAUAUGAGACCAACUCCACCAACUAAUUCCUAACUUUAUUACCUGCAUAUAAGACAUUUACAAAGGCUUCAUUACCAGACUAAAAAAGAAAAGAAAAGAAAAAAGGAAGUAGAUAAAGAGAAAUAAAAUGCAUAAUGCGAGAGUCCCAGACUUGUAAAUGCAUAAGUCAGAAUAAGUAAAGCAUUGGAAAAGUAUGCUGGGGAUAUUAAAUUGAGCUUUAGAUUUUUUACUACAAUUCAUAAGUGUAUGUUACCAAUUAAAGAAGUUAGGUAUAAAAAAGUUGAACCCAAAAGAGGGAUUAAUUCCAUAAAAUGUAACAUCUAGUGAGUGUUAGUUCCUGAUAGGCAUUAAGCAAUUUCUAAGCAUAAUAUACUCCAAAGCGAGUAGGAUCUUUUCUCCAUAGAAUGCUAGGUAAUUAAAGCCAAUAGGAAUUAGUAGUUUAAUUCUCUGGGAAAAAAAAAUAUCUUAUUUUGUUAUCAUUCUAUUGCUGGUUGGUCAUCAGUCCAAACAUCCCUUUUUUCACAUGUCUGUUGUCAAUGUACGCUCUGAUGACUAAGGGUGCGGCGUCUAUUUGCAUUAUCUUUCUUAGGAAAAUAGGCAAAGGAAAGAAUAAAAUGCAGCAAUAUAUAUAGAAGAAAAAAAUGGAAAUAAAGAAAUAAAACAUUGAAAUAAUAUUAUUAUAUCUACAAAGAAGACACAAAUUGAGAGUUUUGCAAACUAAUCUUUUUACCAAGAGAACCCCACUUUAUACCAAGAAGACACAAAUUGAGAGUUUCGCAAGCUAAACACCGACAGUCGAAUUACCAAGAGAAGCCCACUUUAUCUCCCGUAAACAAAAAGAAGGAGAAGAAAUACAGAAAUGAAAAUGGAUGACCGAAAUAUAAAAUCAAUGCUUCCAAGAAAGAUGGAAAGAUCAAUAAAAAAAUCAGCAUGUUAAAAAUUGUAUGAAGUAGCAUAUAUGAAUGGGUCCAAUAAACAAUGGGAAUAAAAAAUUGAAGAAUAAAAUCAAUGACUGAAGUAUUAAACUAUGCUUCCAAGAAAGAUGAAAAACUCCUUAGAAAAUCAGCUUGUGAAAAUCAUACUAAACAACAUACGUGAAUGGAUAUGGAAAUAAAUAAAUAUACUCUGCUCAGACUCCCACGGCCAUCAAAUAUUAUGAGAUUGGCGGCUAAGACUUCUUGAUUAGUAGUGCUAACUGAGUUUGAACCCGCGUGCGUGCCACAAUUAUUCUUAGCACAAAUAAGAAUGGAUCAAAUAUUAUGAGAUUGGUGGCAGAGACUUCUUGAUUAGUAGUGCUAACUGAGUUUGAACCCACGUGCGCGCCUGUCACGCCCCAAACCCGAGGCAUAACAGACGCCGCAUAUCUACUAAUUUAGUAAAUAUGCAAGGCUACAGAAUCAGACAAAUUACAUACAAAAGAUGAUUAUAAAAAUAGAAAUUCAAACUGUCGAAAGAUGAGGUCAUCAAUUUAAAUUCAACUAGGAUCAAAGAAAAUCACAUAUAAGCAGAACUAUAGUUUAUUAUGCAAUUCAAACAAAAUUUAGUCUAACUAGUGCUUUAAGUAACAAAUAUGGGUACGAUGAAAUAACAAAGUAGAAACAGAUAAACAAUGAUUAUCUACGAAGUUCAAAGUUCAUAUCUAAAUGCAAUAGAAAUAAGACGAAGAGGCUAGAAUCAAAUCUAGCUACAUCUAACGUUCACUCGCUCCCAGCCCCGCCCUGCGAAUCGGUCUCAGUACCUGGGUAAGCAACCAUACACCACAUUAGUCGGAUUAAGCAUACAAUAAAUGGAUACACAAAUUAGUUCAAGCGACUGGUUUUAAUUUGCAAAAUUUAAGAAAAUAAGAAUUUAUCAAAACUUCAAAUUCGGAUCGGAUUGAAACUAUAAUUUUUCAAAGCAUUUCCCUUUCGACAUAUAAACAAAAUAAAUAUUGUCUCCGGCACUUAACUAUAUCUUAUGAUCCGUUGGCGAGAUCCAAAGACACCCGAAGGCGUAAACAAAACAGAGGCACCGGAAGGCGCAAACAAAAUAGAGGCGCGGAUAGGCGCAGGCACCCGAAGGCGCAAACAAAACAGAGGCGCGGAUAGGCGCAGGCACCCGAAGGCGCAAACAAAGACGAAGCUUGCUUCUAUAACAAAGUACAUGUCGACAUGGCCAACAUUAGCAUAGCAGAAUACCAAGAGACAUUUUAAUUCAAAAUUAUCUAGUCACUAACUUACAGAACAGAUAAUCAACUUUCUUUGAGGUAUUCGUUAAAGAAAGCCUUUCAAUCACAUUUGAAACUCAGUUUGCAAAAAUAUUUGAUAUACGCUUAACCCUUAAUUUUUAAUUCCACAAAAUAAAGAUUUUUACACAAUCAAAUUAGUUCCUAAAUUAUUUUACAAAACUAACAGGUGUCCGGUCGCUUACCUUAACGAAUACCUCAAAGAUAGAUAAAAAUAUCCAGUCGAGAAUGCGCCGAAAAUUCAAUCGUCGGAACCUAAAAUAGAGACACGCGAUUCUCUAUAAGCUAACCAAAAUGAACAUACAAAAGGGGAUAUAAAGGUAUGCAAAUAGGUCGGGAUGGAGCACAAAGGGAUUUAGAAUAUUAAAAUUCGACGAAACUCAAUUAGCAAUCAAGAGGAUGAUGAGUUUUAAGGAUUAAAAUAUUCAAAGAAGCAAGAUAAGAUGAAUGAGGUUUUAAAAUAAUAAAGGAAGGAUCUAAUACUCGAAAAGAGGGUUUUCAGAUGUUGAAAUAUUAAUAGGCAAUUUACAAUUAGAUGAGAUCAAAAUUAGAAACAAAACGAAAUUCGCCCUCUCAUGGGCGUUUCAUCGAACAUAUAACGGGCAUUCUAAAAGUAUGUAGAAUAUGCAAAGUCAACAAAACCAAAUCAUAUGCAGAACACAAGGGAUAAGGUUAACGAAAUCAGAUUUGAAUGAUCCUAGAAAUAAUCAUCAAAGAAGAAUACCUAACAACAAUCACCUAAUUAUCGAUAAAUUUAGAUGCUUUCAAGAAUAGGUGUAGAGAUGAAAGUGAAAGGAAUGAACCUUCUUAAAGAUAGAAACAAUGAUGAUGAAAUGUCGUCGACGACGAAUCAAAAAAAUGUCGACGGAUGAGGAUUGUGGUGGCGGCCGCGGAUGACGGCGACGAUGACGAUGAUCAACGGCGUCGUGCACGCGUGAGGGAGGGUGGAGCCGUACGGGUGCAAUAAGGGAGGAAUUAAGGAAGGUUGCGGCUAGGUUAAACGGAUGGUGGAGAUAAUUAGGAAUUAGUGAUUAAUUGGCAUAAAAUGCCGCCGAGUUCCUCAAAAACUAAUAUUUACGAAAAGGUCCGAGUUUUAAAAGAAUAGGAGUUAAAACAAGAAGUUAAGAGUGUGGGGUGUUACAGCACCACAAUUAUUCUUAGCACAAAUGAGAACUGCCGGUUGCCUGCGAAGCAAGCCAUCCAAAGUCCUCUCAUAACUAAUCAAGAAAGCCUAGGCCCCUCUCAAUUAUCGCAACCAUUUAACAUUCAAGGGUAUAAUCAGCAUAGCGUGGAAGAAAAAAGGGAAAGGCAAAGCCUCGGAAAAUAGAUGGCUUAAAUUCUGAUGGCAUUCAAGAGGUAGUCAUCAUAGCAUGCACAAAAACAGGUCAAGGCAAAGUACCCCAAAAAGGCAAAACCAACAGCCAGCCAGAAGGCAUACGAAACAUGCAGAAACGAAAAAGGGACCUACGGAUUCUUUUUUUUUUUUUCUUUCUUUUGUGAAAACCAUGUUGAAGUAAAGGCGAAAGGAUAGAGUCUAACCUGCACAAAACCUCAAAAAAAUAAUGUAAAACAACUAAGUAUUCGAAGGACUUCCCCGCCCCCCUCGCCCUCACCCAAAAAAGAAACAAAUGUAUGUAAAAGUAAGCCAAAAAACAUAGCUUUGACAAACUAACGACAAAAAAUGCAGCUAUAGGAAUCCUGAGGACUUUAAAAAAACACAAAACCAGCGAAAUCCCAAGGACUUUAAAAUAGGAAAAUAGGGAAAAAUCGGAGACAUUAAAAUAGGAAAAUAGAGGCUUAGGGAAUGUAACAAUUCAACCAAGAUUAGUAGCUUAGGCAAGAGAUAAAAACAUUAGAGAUGGUUGCCGAGGGAUUAGGCCAUCCAAAUAUCUUUUUCUCUUAAAAGGUUAUACAUCAAAACUUAAGAGAUAGUUGCCGAGGUAUCGGGUGAUCCAAAUCUCUUUUUUUUCCUCUUUGUAGCAUCUAAGCAUCUAAGCACAUGAGCAAUUGCCAUCAUUCACAGUUCUCCUUAUUUAUCAUCAUCGCCUCAAAGAAGAGCCAGAAGCAAGACCACAGAAAAAUUUAAAACUGAAGCAAGAGAACGAAAAACGUGAAGAAUAAACAACGAAUAAUGAAAUCAACAGAAAUAAUGCAAAAAGAAAUAUAAGGCGAAACAUUACGAAAGUUGUAACAAAAAAAAAUGGGAAUAAUCAGUGGAUUCAAAUGGUAAAAAAAAAAAAAAAAAAAAAAAAAAAAAAAAAAAAAAAAAAAAAAAAAAAUCUGGAUGAACUUAGAGAGAAAGAACAUCUUUAUUCUUUUUAUCACACAUUUGAUGCAUAUUUUUUUAGCCAACAGUUGGUGCAUGUGUUGCCGGCCCUAAGACCGUCAAGCUUGCCCUUUUUCAAAUCCUAUAUCAUCAUUGCCUAGCAAAUUAUUUGAUGUCACGAAUUAGCCAUCUUUUUUUAUGCCACUAUUUUCAUAAUAUUGUGAUUAACAUUUUGAAAAACAGCAACACAAAUUGCAGUAAUUGCAUCACAUUAUAAACAAAAAAAUUCCAAAGCUCUCAUGUAUGCAAAGAGGGCCCAAAAAGUUUUGAUGGCUUGGGGAUGGGACCAUCCAAACUCUCCAAUAUUUUUCGCACAACAAAAUAGCCCCAGACUAUGCCAAUAACCAAUGUGCCAAUCUCUUUUUUUUUUUUUCUUUAUAGCAUCACUGCCUCAAAAGACUUCAAAACAACUAAAACUCCUAAAGAUCAUGCAAUUAAAAACCCUUCCAGCUGAAACAAAUUCCUAUCAUAAUAAAGAGAACUUAAAAGAAUAGAGGCUCAAGUAAUAUCAAAAUAGACAAUAAACAAAAAAUAGGAAAAUAGAGGCUCAGGUAAUAUAAAAUAAAAUUCAACCAGGAUUGGUAGCUUGGGCAAGAGAUAAAAAACAAAAGAGAUGGUUGCCCAGGGAUUAGCCCGUUCAAAUCUCCGUUUUCCAAAAAGAUUAUACACCAAGACUUAAGAGAUGGUUGCCAACAGAUUAGGCCAUCCAAAUCUCUUUUUUUGUUCUCUUUGUAGCAUCACUGCCUCAAAAGAGAUUGAAAGAACUAAAAUGUCAAAAGUUCCCACAAAUUAGCACAUGAGCAAUAGCUAUCAUCCACACUUAUCCUUACAUAUCAUCAUCGCCUCAAAAAAAAAGCUAGAAAAUGGAUAGGAUCGCAAAGAAACCAAGAAAAUAAAGCAAUAUUAGGAAAAUAACAAUACACUGAAUAAUAUGAAUAACCAAGAGCAAGGAGUGGCAGGAAGAGCAUGUAAAAAAUCUAGAGUGUAAAGCACAUGAAUUAUUUUUUCAGAAAUUACAAUCCGAAUAAAACAAACCUUAAAAUGUAUCAAAAAUAUCUGUAAAUUCUAAGCAAUCCAAAUCUCGGUUUUUCCAAAAAGAUUAAACACAAAGACUUAAGAGAUGGUUGCCAAGGGAUUAUGCCAUCCAAACUGUUUUUUUUUUCUUUUUGUAGCAUCACCAUCUCGUAAGAGAUCGAAAGAACAAAAAUGCCAAAUUUUAGAAAUAAGCGAAGUAGAAAUUCGUCAGUUCCCAAAAAAAAUAGAAACCAUCACUACUCAAAAAACUUAAUUAUGUAAAAUAGAAUAAAUCUAGAGAAUAUAAAAUAACAUUCGAAAAAAAUUUAGAAGGCAACAUGGAAGAGAAGGCUCAGAUUCAACAUUAAUUUACAUACUAAAAUAGUUUCUACUCUUCUCUUCAAGUGCAAACCAAACUUUUGCAAAGGAUUGAAGGCUGCAGUGGUUGCCAUGUGGCCAUCCAUACUGCCUUGCCGUCCAAACCUUCUAAUAUGAAUUCGGAAAAUACUUAAAAAGAGAAGAUAGGGACCUUAUGAAACUUCAUCAUCAAUGUAUGAAACCUACGCCGUCCAAACCUUCUAAUAUGAAUUCGAAAAAUACUUAAAAGAGAAGAUAGAGACCUUAUGAAACUUCAUCAUCAAUUAUGAAACCUAUAAUCAAGAAUCGAACUUCCGAAUACAUUGUGAUGUUUCAACUUAUCACCACCGCCUAUUAUCAGAAUUCUUUUCCAAAUAAAAAUUCUCGACUUUUUUUUUGGAUAAAGUAAUAGAUUGCAAGAACAAGCAUAGCAAAAUCAAAAAAAUUUGAUAGUGGAGAGAGAAUCAGAGAAAAGACUCUAGUAGGCAUUUCACCAAACAUAUGAGGGGCGCAGCAAAACGGACAAUUUUUGGAGCUCCCCUUGCUCCACUCAGUAGAGAGAGAGAGAGAGAGAGAGAGAGAGAGAGAGGCGACCGAGAGCAAGCCAUGGAAUUGGGCGAGGAAGUUUCGGCGACGACGGGGAUGGGGAAGGGUGGAAGGAGGCAUACCGUAGCAGGGCGACAAAGGCCCGGGGUUCGCGGGAGUUGCGUGGGGAAGCGCGACCCUCCGCGUUGGGCGUAGGAGGAGGUCAGGGUAGGGCCCGACAAACACCCGAUAGUGGGGGGCCUAGAUCGGAGAGANUAUCUCCUCCUCCUUUAACGUGAGCCAGGGAGGGAGGGAUAGGAGGGGAGAGAGAGAAAGGCGAAGGGGGGUUGGGGGAAAGAGAGAGAGAGAGAGAGAGAGAGAGAGAGAGAGAGAGAGACGGGGGGAGGGGGGCCUAGGGAUAGGGAGAGGGGGAGAGAGAGAGAGAGACAGGGGGAGAGGGGGCCGCCAUCUGCGGGCGACCCGCAACUGGGCGCGGAGAAAGAGAGAGAGAGCCGAGGGGCCCUGCUAUGUGCGCAGCGCGUCGCGCGUUCGCGCCCGCUAGAGAAGAAACGGCAGAGAGGAGGGGGGCGCUGGGAGGUGCCACGUAGGCCACAGGAGAGAGAGAGAGAGCGGGGGGCGGUUGCGAAGGGCCCCACCGAAGCCCCGCCAAACGCGGGGAGGGCUCCGGAGGAACUCAAGAAUUAAUAUUACUAUAGAUCAUCAUAAUCAGAAAACUAAUCAAUUACAAUAUAUCUCCUCCAAACAACAAAUUGUUGAUCGUUUUACAAAAUAUUCUCGUUACCAGAAGUGCUCUCAUAAUUGUGCUCACUACCAUAUAUUCACCUUCCAUAUUCUCCUUAAGGCAAAUAUGGAAGGUGAAUAAUCUCAUAUUAAGGCAAAUAUUCUCAUUACCAUAAGUGCUCUCAUGAUUGUGAUUACCACCAUAUAUAUAUAUAUAUAUAUAUAUGCUCUCAUUCACAUUCCAUAUUCUCCUUAAUUAUUAUAGGGCUUUUUUUGCAAAUAGCCCCCUAACUAAUUUUUUUUUUAAAAUUGGCCCUAUCAAAAAUUUAUUUGCAAAAAUGGCCCUGGUCCCACCACGUCAACGCCACGUCAGCGCCACGCGGGCGGGGCUGGGCUAUGUGUUUAAGUUGAACACGGUGAACCAUUCACCGUGUUCAAUACAAGGUUUUUGUAUUAAACACGGUGAAUGGUUCACCGUGUCCAAUACAAAAUGGUUAACUGCGAGGUAUUUGUAUUGGACACGGUGAAUGAUUCACCGUGUCCAAUACAAAUAAUUGAACACGGUGAAUGAUUCACCGUGUCCAAUAUAAAUACCCACAACUUAGUCAUUUUUGGCUAAGUUGGAGGUAUUUGUAUUGGACACGGUCAAUCAUUCACCGUGUCCAAUACAAAAACUUUGUAUUGAACACGGUGAAUGGUUCACCGUGUUCAACUUAAACACAUGGCCCAGCUCCGCCCGCGUGACGCUGACGUGGCGCUUGCGUGGCGGGAUCAGGGCCAUUUUUGCAAAAAAAAUUUUGACGGGGCCAAUUUUAAAAAUAAAAUUUAUCAGGGGGCUAUUUGCAAAAAAAGCCCAUUAUUAUAUACCAUAUUUAUCAUUUAUUCUUUCUCUUUUUUGGUCGACAGAUUAGAUAUUCAAAUACUUUAUCAUGCAAGCCUUAUACUUGUAUUAUAUAAAGGGUGAAAACCCCUCGUGAAGAAGACAUCGAUCAAGCCCCCCAUUCUACCUUUUCUUAUUCAUUAUUAGUGAACUUGUAAUCCACGCGUAUUGGCAUCCUUUGUUCCAAAGCCUUUCUUUCAUCUUUUCCGCCUUCGAUGGGAUUUCUUCAUAACUAGAGAGGCACCAAAAAUAGCACGACGACAGAUCGAUGACCGGUUGAAUCAUUUGAUUCAUCAUAAAAAAAGAGGGUGGGAACAGUCAUUUACGGCUAGGAGCCGUUAACAAAUUCAACCUGAAGGAAUCAAAAAAAGAGAAUACUAUAGUAGCUUGAAAGAAAUAAGGAAACAACUAAAAAAGCAUCUGGCAUUAAUGACUAACUAUCAUUACAACUAGUUCACGGCUAAACAAGCACUACAACAAAAAUGGUCUAUAGCGACACUUUUAAAUGUAGGUACAUGUCAAAAAAGUGCUGCUAGCUAAAAUUAUCGACACUUUUAAAAAGUGUUGCUAUAUGUGGGGUCGCUAGGUAUAUAGUGACAGUUAAAGAGUGUCGCUAUAACCUAAAAGAGUGCUGCUAAUUUACCAACACUUAUUUAAGCAUUUAGCAACCGCCGAAACUUUAUCUCGUUGGCUGCGGUGGCGGAGGAGGACGAGUAAAGGUUCUUCGUCUAGAAUUUCAGUAGAUUGAGUGAAGAGAGAAGAAAAGAUGGUAAUUGAUUUUUCUUUUUCUUUUUUUUUCUAUUUGUAAUCGGGUCAAAUGGACUGGGUGUGGUGGGUUGAGUAGAGUAAUCUUUUAUUUUUGGUUGGAUUGGGCUUUAUAUUUAG